rnacentral:lncRNA from 1 species
AUCAGUUUAGUUAUGGAAGAAAUAACAUAAUUCAAGAGCCUCUACGCUCUCAUAUUACUUUGGAUUCAUUGAACAGUGUCAGCUAAAACAGUAUACCUUUAAUGUCAUUGAGGCUAUCUGCCUGCGCAUUGCUCUUGCUCAAGAAGCAGCCCAUCAAAACCUGCGGAGUAGCUGCAGUUUUUCUUUUCUGACCACUGAUAGGGGAAGAGAAGAAGCGACGGCGAUGGUUACGGGAUGAGCAUGAGCGCCGAGAAGAUGAGAGGGUGGACUACGGAAGAGAAAAGAGAGCUUAGUCUUUAGGGUGGGCUCUGGGCAGGGGAAUAGUUUGAAAUAAUCUCAACCAUUCAAUCUCUAAUAUAUAAACAUUCUUUUCCAAUACCCUAUCUUUUAUAGCCGUGCUGUAAGCUCAUAAUACUAGAGUCGCAAUAAAGUCGCAGCCCUACAUCAUCGCAGCAUCAACCCCGCAUGCCACAACUCCAUUGCUGUGUUUUUUUUUUCAAUUUAUUUUUUGAACAUGUAAUGUUGUUCAUACUAAUCUUGGAGGGCCAUAUCAAACACCAUCACUUAAAAGGCAGUAAGUAUUAUAUUGCCUUUAUUGAUGAUUUAACUUGAAUGUGCUGGAUAUAUUUUUUCAGAUUCAAAUCAGAAGUGGCUGGAGUAUUUUCGAGAUUCAAAACAUGGACUGAAAAUCAAAGUAAAUGUAAGAUGAUGAUGUUAAUGACUCGUGGUUGUCGAAACCGAUUAAAAAUAACAUUUCCGGUUAUCAACAAUAUUAAUACUGCAGAUAGUGGUAAAGGAUCGAAUCCACAGAGAAUUGAUAACUUAUCUAUUUUCCUCAACAAGACCAAGAGUAUUAACUGAAAGUGCAACUGAAAGCAAGUAACUUAAAACGGAACAAAAAUAAAGUGUAAUAAAAAUAAAAAGGGAGGGCUUGAGAUUGAUUUGAUUAGCAAACUACUGAAAGCAAUUAAAUGAGCAAGUAAUUAAAAUAAAAGAAAAAUCUAAUAUGAGAAAAGUCUAGUUGAAGAGAUGGAUCCACUUUGGUUGUUUGGAUUGAUCAUUGAAACUUACGUUCUCUUGAUUGUUUCAAUAGAUUAGUUAUAGAGAUGGAAAACGCUUCUCACCACCAUGUCUCUCCUUAUGAUUAAAUCAAUUAGGGAACGUCCUCUAAUGAAUUACUAAUUAACAAAUUGCCAAUGAACGUCCUUGGGCCUUAGGCAUCAAAAUAGAGAGAUCCAAUCCUAGCUACUCAAACGCAUGAGAUGUUGCUAGAUCAUACAAUUCCUUAGUUGUUACACCAAGUGUUCUUAUGUUUGAAUAAUUCCAGCAAUUACGGACUAAAAAUUAUCCCAACUAGCAAUCAAUUACCUUGCAAUCAAGAACCAAGUGGCCAAUUUGAUCAAAACAACAAAGUAACAAUGGAUUCAAGCACCAAAUUAUAUGAAUAUUGAACAAACCAAAGACAAAUAGUUUAUGUUCAGAUCUCACAAUCCAUAAAACAACCUCAGUUUCAACCAAUCUUUAACUAGAAUUAAAGGUUUCAACCACUCAUGACUGAAACAAAACAGAAAAUAAAAGGAAAGAACUAGAGAAGAUGAACCGAAUUAGUGGAGAAGCUUGCUCCUAGCCUUGGCCGAAUGGGAGAGAUGGAAGGGGAUGAAUGGAUUCUGUCGUGGCUGGCCUUUUAGGAGUCUUUAAAUAUGUUUCAAGAUGCUGAUCUAGGGUUUCUUGGCUGUCCAUGAGUUUUUAAGAGGCUGCCCAAAUUGCCCUUGACUUUUACUUGCACUUUACCUUGCCGCCCAUGCACAUGUGUGAGGGUGUGGCGUGUGGCUUGUUUUCAAUUGCAAGGAGUGGGUCUUUUGGUCUUUGCUUGCUGCCCUAGUGUCUUCAAGAUGCUGCCCAAAGUGCCCAAAACUUGCCUUCACACCAUUCUUGCCGCCCAUGCACAGAUAAGGAAGGUGGAGCCUUCCUUUGCAAUUUAAAUUUUGAAUGUGCAAAGCAUGUGUGGCAUAUGUGACUUCUUUGGCUUCUUUGGUAACCUGAAUCUUGAAAUUCAAAAUUUAAAUAUAAAUCUUGAAUAUUUGAAUUUCAAAAUACUUUCCUUAUUUAACUCUUCUUUCAUGGCAACUUGAGACUUGGCUUCUUGAAUAAGGAAAAGGCUACUUAGAGAUUUGAAAUUUGAAUUUCAAAUUGCUUUAGCUGAAUGUUCUUUCCUUCUUUGCCACUUUUCUUAUUUAGAACUUUCCUUAUUUAGCUUCACUUAAUUUCAACUUGGCAGGCUUGCUUCCUUUUGCUCCAUUUAAGGCAGUUUUAAGGGUAUUUUCUCCAAAAUGUCCUUUUUCACUAAUUUCUGCAAAAUAAUAUCAAAAGCACUAAAUUAAGCAGAAAUCAUGUAAAUAAUCGUCAAUAAUAUCAAGACAAAAUGGACUAAAAUAUGCUCUAUCAAAUACCCCCACACUUAGCCUUUUGCUUGUCCUCAAGCAAAUAAACAUAGUCAAACAAGCUUUCUUUGCUACUUGAUCCUUAUUUCCACUUAACCUCUUACUCUAGACACCUAUUUUGAAUCAUUGCAGUGAAGAAUAUAUGCAUCAAGGUUACUCACCUUCUUUCCUUGUUUCCCUUUGCUUACCAUGGCUAGGAUUUGUUUUCCUCAAGAGAGAGAUCAUACAUGCACAUAUUAUUUGUUCAGAUAAGACUUUUUCUAGCUUUCAGAGUGACUUGCCCUUACCUUGAAGUACUUUAUUCAGCCUUUUUGCACUUUAAUCUUGCUUGAAAAAAUCACCAACCUUUUGAUGCGAAGGUAUAUAUUUUCAGUUGGUCACCUUUCCAAGUGGCUACUAGCUCUGUUCAUAGUUUUUCAACCAUUGGAACAGUUUUUUUUUUGUGCUUUUGAAGUCUAAGCCUUCGUUGAAUUUCUUUCUCUCAAUGAUUUGGGCAAAUCAACACCAAUUGCUAAAGUCAUGUUAAGUUCAUUCACACAAUUUUCAAUUUAUUCUCUCUAAUAAGUGUCAUCAAUAUAUUUUUCACCAUGGCAAGCUCAAAAAUUCAAUUCAAAAGGCAAUUCUCAAACAUGAAUAUAACUCACUGCAAUUGAUUCAAUAUAAGUUUAAAAAGUCAUCACAUCAAUGGGGUCAUAGAAAGAAAAGCUGAUCCAACAUAGUUAAUCAGUUUGAGUAGAGCAAAUCAAAAAGAAGAAGAAGGUUGUGGUUAUGUGUGUGUUAUUGAAAGCAUGAAUGAAAACAAACUAAAGGGAAAACUGUAAGCAAAAAUUUGCAUGAACUGAAAUAAAAUAAAGCAGAAGUCGCAAAUCUUAAAGAAAAAGAAAAAAAUUUCACAGAUCUAAAAUGAAAAAGAAGAAGAAAGAGGAAGAGAAGAAGGAGAGAUAUGCACCCCCACACCUAAAUCAUGCAUUAUCCUCAAUGUGUAAAAAAAACAUAAAAGAACAAAGGAAACUGAGUACUCCCCUGGGGUGUGGUAAGCAUGGUGUGAUUCCUUAGGCAGAAUGAGUGAUGAACAGAUGUUCGUCUGGGAAGUCUUCCUUGACUGGACAAGGUGUAGAGCUAGAUGGAAGCCGGCUGAGGUGGUCGGCUACAAGAUUUUUUUUUCCCUUUCUUGUCUCUUAUCUCCAGAUCAAACUCUUGUAAUAAAAGUAUCCACCUAAUGAGUCUUGGUUUGGUCUCUUUUUUCUUGAUCAGAUAUCGCAAAGCUGCAUGGUCAGAAUAGACGAUGACUUUGGUUCCCAAGAGAUAUGGUCUGAAUUUUUCUAAAGCAAAUACAACAGCUAAGAGCUCCUUUUCUGUUGUUGUGUAGUUGCUUUGUGUAGCAUCCAGUGUGCGAGAGGCAUAGUGAAUGACGUGGGGUGAGUUCCCCACACGUUGUCCCAAGACUGCUCCCACUGCAUAGUUGCUUGCAUCACACAUGAUUUCAAAAGGCAAAUUCCAAUCAGGUGCUUGAAUAAUUGGGGCAGUCACAAACAAUUUCUUUAUCAGAUCAAAUGCUGUUUUGCAACCUGCAUCAAAAUCAAAUGUCACAUCUUGUUGGAGCAAUUUACAUAAAGGCUGAGUGAUUUUUGAGAAGUCCUUUAUGAAUCUCCUGUAGAAUCCUGCAUGACCAAGGAAAGAACGGAUUUUUAAACAUUUGUAGGAUAAGGCAGAUUUUUAAUGGUAUCUACCUUAGCCUUGUCUACUUCAAUUCCUUUAGCUGAAACAACAUGUCCUAAAACCAUACCUUGAUUAACCAUAAAAUGACAUUUUUCAUAAUUAAGUACAAGGUUAGACUCAAGGCAUCUCUGUAGGAUCUUUUCCAAGUUGGCAAGGCAUUCUUCAAAGGAGUUGCCAUGCACUGUGAAGUCAUCCAUGAACACUUCAAUUGUCUUACCCACAUAGUCAGAGAAUAUGCUCAUCAUGCAUCGCUGAAAGGUGGCAGGUGCAUUGCAUAAUCCAAAUGGCAUUCUUCUAAAGGCAAAAGUGCCAAAAGGGCAAGUGAAGGUGGUUUUCUCUUGGUCCUCUGGAGCAACUGGAAUCUGAUAAAAACCUGAAUAACCAUCAAGACAACAGUAAUGGGACUUACCUGCAAGUCUUUCUAGCAUCUGAUCAAUGAAAGGUAGAGGGAAAUGGUCUUUCCUUGUGGCUGCAUUUAGCUUCCUAUAGUCCAUGCACACUCUCCACCCAUUUUGAAUUCUUGUGGGAACAAGUUCUCCUUCAGCAUUUGGGACAAUACUAAUCCCAGUUUUCUUUGGGACUACAUGCACGGGACUCACCCAUUUGCUAUCAGAGAUUGGGUAGAUAAUACCUGUAUCAAGGAGCUUAACUAUUUCUUUCUUCACUACCUCCAUCAUAGGUGGAUUCAAUCUUCUUUGAGCAUCUCUGACUGGCUUGCAUUCCUCUUCUAUGUAUAUUCUAUGCAUGCAUGUGGAAGGAGAAAUGCCUUUUAUGUCAUCAAUGAUCCAUCCUAUGGCUCCUUUGUGUUUCUGCAGUACUUUCAAGAGGCUUGCUUCUUCAUGUUGGCUCAAUUCAUUGGACACUAUUACUGGUAGUGUCUUGUCAGCUCCCAAGUACAUGUAUUUCAGAUGGCCUGGAAGAGGCUUUAGAUCUGAUUUUAAUGCUUUCUGACUUGUUUUCUGCGUUGGAUAUGUUUUAGCUCUACCUUGCGCAAGGCUUGACUGCAAAGGGGGACUGGAAGAGCUCGCUUGCGUUGGCGACUGAGGAGGUGCGAUCGGAAGCUGAAAGGGUGUGUUGGUGGUGGAGUCAGUCUGCGCAAGGCCUUUCUGAGGUGGUGCGACAGAGUUUUCUUCAAUCUGUGCUUGACUGCAAUUUACCGGUUGGAUGCUACAGACUGUCUCUUUCAAUUUUGGCUCUUUCUGGCUCUCAUUCCUGCAAAGAUCAUCAUUCAGAAUACAAUCUUGAUUCUCAUCAAAUAUUUCUUGGCUCAAGCAGUCAAUAAUAUCAAGACCAUAAACAGAGGACAUAUCAUGUGGAUAUUUCAUAGCAUCAUAGACAUUAAAUUUAAUGACUUCCCCUUCAAACUCCAUAGUCAAUGUACCAUCAUGCACAUCAAUCUUAGUCCUAGCAGUACUCAAGAAAGGACGUCCAAGAAGGAUAUCAGAACUAGUAUUGUAACUUUCUUCCUUAGUAUCAAUCACAUAAAAAUCUGCAGGAAAGACAAGUUCAUCUACUUGAACUAACACAUCUUCUAGAACACCUAUGGGAUAUACCACAGAUAUAUCAGCUAGUUGAAUCACAACUUUUGUGUCUUUCAGUGCACACGCAUUCAAAGAAUUAUAAAUGGAAAGAGGCAUAACAUUUAUGGAUGCACCAAGAUUACACAUAGCUUUCUUAAUUCCUACAUUCCCUAUAUUGCAGGAAAUAGCAAACAUACUUUUAUCCUUGCAUUUAGUAGGGAGCUCUCUCUUAAUAACAGCCGUAACAACUUCACCUACACUUACUUUCUCUCUUUUAGCUAGCUUUCUUCUAUUGGUACACAGUUCUUUCAGAAAUUUUGCGUACCUGGGAAUCUACUUAACAGCAUUUAACAGAGGUAUGUUGAUUUCCACUUUUCUGAAAGUCUCAAGGAUAUCCUUUUCUUCCUUUUCUUUUUGUGUUCUUUCAAAUCUUUUUGGAAAAGGAGGUGGAAUGCAAAAGCUUACUUUUUUAUCAGUCUUCCACGCAGGUGGUGUUUCAGAUUGCGCUGGAGAGGCUUCAGGUUGCAUUGGUUCUUGUGCAAAUGGUGUUUCAGAUUGCGCAGGUGGUGCUCUUCCAUUAGUAUUGACCUCUUGUAGCUCCUUCCCACUUCUCAAAGUAAUGGCACUGACAUUCUGUCUGGGGUUAGUUUCAGUUUGAAAAGGAAGCUUACCUUGGGAUUCAACUUUGCUCAUGAAUGCGGUUACUUGUCCCAUCUGUUGUUGGAGAGUCUGCACAGAGCUUGUAAGUGUCUCCAUCAUCUUUUCGAGGUGUUGAUUUGAACUUGAAGGUGCUGGUUGGGCUUGAUUCCUGUAGUAGUUUUGAUAGUUCUGAUUAUUGUUAGCCCUUUCGUAGCUGAAAUUGGGAUGGUCUCUCCAGCCUGGAUUAUAUGUGUUGGAAUAUGGAUUAUGUCUAGGCUAGUUGUUAUAUCCUCCAAUGGCAUUAACUUGCUGGUUGUCUUCUUGAAGAGUAGGACACUGAUCAGUUGGAUGUCCUACAUAUGCACAAAUCCCACAUGGCCUAGGUGGCUGGGAUGCUUGAACCUGUUGAACUAGUCCAAUGGCAAAGUCUUUCAUAAAAGAUGUCAGUUCAGAGAUAGAAGGUGAACUUACCUCAUUGACUCUUCUCUGCAGUUGUUUUUCUUCUCCAUAUUGCCUAGAUGAGGCUGCAAGUGUUGAGAUCAACUCUCUCAUCUCCCUAGGUGUCUUGUCUGCAAUGGAUCCUCCACAGGCUACAUCAAUGAAUCUUCUUUCUGAAGAAAGCAGUCCUACAUAGAAGAAUUCUAUGAGUGCCUUAUAUGAAAUAUCAUGUUGAGGACAACCUGUACACAAACUUUUAAACCUUUCCCAAUAAUCAUAAAAGUCCUCAGAUAGUUUCUAUCUAAUGCUACUGAUUUCUCUUCUUAUACCAAUAGCUUUAUGAGUUGGGAAAUAUUUAUUCAAGAAGGUUAUUACCAUGUCAUCUCAAGAAGUAAUAGAUCCAGGAGGUAAGUAAAACAGCCAAUCCUUAGCAUAAUCAUCAAGUGAAAAAGGAAAAACUCUUAACUUAACAUGAUCUUCAGAAAUAUCUUGAGGUCUCAUAGAUGAAUAGACAAUAUUGAACUCUUUCAAGUGUUUGUGUGAAUUUUCAUUUUCUAAUCCUCUAAACUUACGGAGGAGAUGAAUCAAACCUGUUUUCAGUUCAAAGGGAACUGUCAGAGGUGGAUAGGUGAUGCAAAGUGGUGCUUGAUCGCCUAUAGGUGUUGUCAAUUCUCUCAUGGUUCUUUCUCUUGGCAUUGGUGUUCUCAUGGUUGGAUUUUCUUGAAUUAUUUGGUCUUGGACAGCAUGUCCAUUAUGGGCAGCAUGUUGUGCACGAUGUUCAGCCAUUGGUGUGGCUUGAUGGUGCGGUUGGAGUGUUUCAGAUGAAGCUUCUGCGCAGGGCACUCCUUCAGGUGCGAUGGGAGCUUCUUCAAGCGGGACUGCUUGCUUUCCUAGUCUUCUGAGAGUGGUCAUGAAAGAAAAAUAAACAAGUUAGAACAAUUCUCCGGCAACGGUGCCAAUUUUUGACUCGCGGUUGUCGAAACCGGUCAAAAAUAACAUUUUCGGUUAUCAACAAUAUUAAUACUGCAGAUAGUGGUAAAGGAUCGAAUCCACAGAGAAUUGAUAACUUAUCUAUUUUCCUCAACAAGACCAAGAGUAUUAACUCAAAGUGCAACUGAAAGCAAGUAACUGAAAGCGGAACAAACAUAAAGUGCAAUAAAAGUAAAAAGGUGGGGGUUUGAGAUUGAUUUGAUUAGCAAACUACUGAAAGCAAUUAAAUGAGCAAGUAAUUAAAAUAAAAGAGAAAUCUAAUAUGAGAAAAAUCUAGUUAAAGAGAUGGAUCCACUUUGGUUGUUUGGAUUGAUCAUUGAAACUUAUGUUCUCUUGAUUGUUUCAAUAGAUUAGUUAUGGAGAUGGAAAACGCUUCUCACCACCAUGUCUCUACUUAUGAUUAAAUCAAUUACUAAUUAACAAAUUGCUAAGGAAUGUCAUUGGGCCUUAGGCAUCAAAACAAUUGUCAAUUGCAUGAAAAAAUAGAGAGAUCCAAUCCUAGCUACUCAAACGCAUGAGAUGUUGCUAGAUCAUACAAUUCUUUAGUUGUUAUACCAAGUGUUCUUAUGUUUGAAUAAUUCCAGCAAUUACGGACUAAAAAUUAUCCAAACUAACAAUCAAUUACCUUGCAAUCAAGAAUCAAGUGACCAAUUUGAUCAAAACAACAAAGUAACAAUGGAUUCAAGCACCAAAUUGUAUGAAUAUUGAACAAACCAAAGACAAAUAGUUUAUGUUCAGAUCUCACAAUCCAUAAAACAACCUUAGUUUCAAUCAAUCUUCAACUAGAAUUAAAGGUUUCAGCCACUCAUGGCUGAAACAAAACAGAAAAUAAAAGGAAAGAACUAGAGAAGAUGAACCGAAUUGGUGGAGAAGCUUGCUCCUAGCCUUGGCCGAAUGGGAGAGAUGGAAGGGGAUGAAUGGAUUCUGCCGUGGCUGGCCUUUUAGGAAUCUUUAAAUAUGUUUCAAGAUGCUGACCUAGGGUUUCUUGGCUGUCCAUGAGUUUUUUAAGAGGCUGCCCAAAUUGCCCUUGACUUUUGCUUGCACUUUACCUUGCCGCCCAUGCACAUGUGUGAGGGUGUGGCGUGUGGCUUGUUUUCAAUUGCAAGGAGUAGAACUUUUGGUCUUUGCUUGCUGCCCUUGUGUCUUCAAGAUGCUGCCCAAGGUGCCCAAGACUUGCCUUCACACCAUUCUUGCCGCCCAUUUAUAAAUAAAGAAGGUGGAGCCUUCCUUUGCAAUUUGAAUUUUGAAUGUGCAAAGUAUGUGUGGCAUGUGUGACUUCUUUGGCUUCUUUGGUAAGCUGAAUCUUGAAAUUCAAAAUUUGAAUAUAAAUCUUGAAGAUUUGAAUUUCAAAAUACUUUCCUUAUUUGGCUCUUCUUUCAUGGCAACUUGAGACUUGGCUUCUUGAAAGAGGAAAAGGCUACUUGGAGAUUUGAAAUUUGAAUUUCAAAUUGCUUUAGCUGAAUGUUUUUUCCUUCUUUGCCACUUUUCUUAUUUAGAACUUUCCUUAUUUAGAACUUUCCUUAUUUAGCUUCACUUGAUUUCAACUUGGCGGGCUUGCUCCCUUUUGCUCCAUUUAAGGCAGUUUUAAGGGUAUUUUCUUCAGAAUGUCCUUUUUCACUAAUAUUUGCAAAAUAAUAUCAGAAGCACUAAAUUAAGCAGAAAUCAUGUAAAUAAUCAUCAAUAAUAUCAAGACAAAAUGGACUAAGAUCUCAUAAUAGAAAAGAGUAUACCUCAUAUCAGUUCAAUAAAUUUUGUGAAGAGGCAGGGAUCGAGCAUCAAUUGACUACUCCAUAUACUCCUUAGCAAAAUGGAGUAAGUGAGCGAAAAAAUAGAACUAUAAUGGAGAUGACUCGUUGCUUGUUGUAUGAGAAAAACCUUUCUAAAAAGUUUUGGGCAGAAGCAGCCAAUACUGCAGUUUUUUUAUUGAAUAGAUUGCCUACUAAAGCUCUCCAGAAGCAUACUCCUUACGAAGCAUGGUAUGGUCACAAACCCUCUCUCACAAAUCUGAAAGUGUUUGGAUGUUUUUGUUUCUCUUAUAUUUCUCAAGUUAAAAGAGAUAAAUUGGACAAGAAAUCUGAGCCUAGAAUUUUCAUAGACUAUAGCAGUGUCUCAAAGGCCUAUAGAAUAUUUCAGCCACAAAAUGAGAAUAUCAUAAUAAGUAGAGAUGUUUUUAUGGAGGAGGACCAAUGGAAUUGGAGUGCAUGUGAUGAUAUUCAACAUUUGAGUAUGCAGCAGCCCACUGUGGAGGAUGUUGAUGAACAACCAGUUCGUGGUACACAGUUGCUAUCUGAAAUCUAUGCAAGAUGCAAUGAAGCAUUAUUAGAGCCGACAAGUGUUGCUGAAGCAAUGAUGGAGCAAAAAUGGAAGCUUGCCAUGGAAGUAGAGAUGCAAAUGAUUGAAAAAAAAUAAAACCUGGAAGCUUGUUGAGAGACCUCAAAACAAGAAAAUUAUGGGGUGAAAUGGGUUUUCCGAACAAAGCUUAAUGCUAAUGGAUCAAUAAAUAAGCAUAAGGCAAGGCUCGUUGUGAAGGGCUAUGCACAAGUCUUUGGUGUGGACUUCUCGAAGACUUUUGCUCCUGUUGAAAGGCUUGAUACUAUAAGAUUAUUGUUGGCUAUGGUAGCUCAAAAAGGCUGGAAGGUGUUUCAGUUAGAUGUCAAGUCUGCGUUUUUGAAUGGUCCUUUGGAGGAAGAAAUUUAUGUCGAGCAGCCAGAAGGUUUUGUUGUGCAAGGGCAUGAAGAUAAAGUGUAUUUGCUUAAAAAGGCAUUGUAUGGCCUUAAGCAAGCACCAAGGGCUUGGUACAAUCGUAUGAAUAAUCACUUGCUAAGCUUAGACUUUGUGAAAAGUCUUAGUGAAUCAACUUUAUAUAUAAAGAAAAAUGGUGCUGAUUUGACCAUUGUUUCUAUUUAUGUUGAUGAUCUUCUUGUUACAAGAAGCAAACAGGAGCUUAUUGACUGUUUUAAGGCUGAAAUGUUCAAAGAAUUCAAAAUGACCGACUUUGGAUUGAUGUCUUAUUUUCUUGGUUUGGAAGUAAGACAAAGGAAGAAUGAGAUCUUCAUCAAUCAAACCAAAUAUGCAAAAGAGAUCCUAAAGAAGUUUCAUAUGGAAGGGUGUAAGCCAAUUGACACUCCUAUGCAGCCUAGAGUAAAAUUCUAUAAAGAUGAUGGUGCUGUCAAAGUGAAUGAAAAUCAUUAUAGAAGUUUACUUAGUUGUCUCAUGUACCUCAUUGCCUCCAGACCUGAUAUAACACAUGUUGUUAGCCUCCUCUCUAGAUUUAUGCAUUGUGCUAGUGAGGAACAUUUACAAGCUGCAAAACGUGUUGUGAGAUACAUAAAGGGAACAAUUGAUUUUGGAGUAAAAUAUGCUUGCUAUCAAAAUUUCAAGUUGGUUUUUCUGACAGUGAUUGGGCAGGUUUAAUAGAUGAUAUGAAAAGUACUACAGGUUUCUGCUUUAAUUUUGGAUCAGGUGUGAUCAAUUGGUAUUCCAGAAAGCAAGAAAUCAUUGCUCAAAGCACUGCAGAGGCUGAAUUUGUUGCUGCAACUGCUGCAGCAAACUAUGCUUUGUGGCUCAGGAAAAUUCUCAAAGAUUUGAAUGAAGAACAGUUAGAGCUAACGCCAAUCUUUGUUGAUAAUCAGGCAGCCAUAUCAAUCUCAUCUAAUUCAGUAUUUCAUGGGAAAACAAAGCAUUUUAAGAUUAAGUUCUACUUUCUGAGGGAAAUUCAAAAAGAAGGAGAAGUGUUGUUAGUUUAUUGUAGAAUUGAGGACCAGGUCACUGAUGGUUUUACUAAAGCUUUGCCUAAAGCUAAAUUUGAAGAUUCAAGAAAUAAAAUGGGAGUUUGCAGCAUCAAAGACAAAGAGGAGUGUUAGAAAUUGUCUUAGAUACUACUGAUUUGCUAAAGUUGUUAAACGUGCUGUGUAGUUCCUAUUUUUCUGUUUAGAUGGUUUGUUAAAUGACUUGGUUUACAAUCUGUAACCAAGUUGUAGGAAAUUUGUUAUUUAUUUUUUCUGUUAAGCAUGUUUGUUUCUAUGUUUUGAUUAUGGGUAGAAUUAUGGGCCAUGAUCUUUUAUCAAUUAUUUUUGUUUUAUAUUUAAAACAGUAUUUUCUUUCAAUGAAUUGUGUUGUGUGGGGUUCAGUUCUGUCCAUUUCUGUUUUUGUUAGUUUUUGCUAACAAGGACCAAAACCUUAGUAGAUGGUGCAAAGGGCAUAGGUGGUUAAAUUAACAGAGAUUGCAGAUACAUAAACCUACCACCAUGUGCUGCCCUUGCCCUUAUUGGCUCCAUACAAGCGGAAGAGGCUGAAAGCUGAGAUACAAGACAGUGCCACCAUGCUAACACUUACCAACAGUGAACUUGCUGUUCCCUCCCCAACUUGGUUGCAGAAUUUUCCAUACAUAUUGCAUACCUUCAUCCAUUGUAGUUCUGGUUGUCCUAACUUCGCAAAUACUGAAGACUGUGCAGCAGCUGCAACUGCUGCUACUGUUACGUAUGCCAUCACCUGCACAAAUGGCUUAAUGAGUAAGAAUUAGGUGGCCUUAUGUUUCAAAAAUUAGUCCAGAAAAUAUUUUUCAAAAAUUUUAGUUGCAAUGUGGAAAAAUAAAUGCAGGUAACAAAUUUAUAGUAAUAAGAUUUUAGAAGUCCAAAAAAUUGAUUUUUUUUAAAAAAAGAGCAAGUCAUUUUCUUUAAAAAUUAUUAACUAAUUUUUCUGAAUGCUUUAAAUGUCAAAAAAUGGGAAAAAAAUAUGUAUAUAUAUUUAUAUUUUUUUCUCAAAAGUAUUUUACAGCAUUUAGUACUUCAACAUUAUGGAGCCUUUCCAAGCCUCUAGCUCAGAUUUAUCAUAAACCUUUUAAAGGAAAAGAAUGCUGAAAUGAAUCAUUUGUAUCAUAAAUAAUAGAUCCCACUACUAGACUACUACUCUCUCUAUAAACAGAAUCCUUGAACUUUUUCACUACAUAACAUUGAUUCCACUACUAGACAACUAACUUCUCCAUUUCUGAGUUAACAACAAGCACUACAGAUUCAUCUUUGCCUUUUCUUUUUCUUUCUUUUUCUACUGCAAAAAGCAUACAAGUUAUACUCGCUCCAUAAUUUGAUCACUGUGUUUAAACUGAAAGGAGUCGGACAGGAUCUGGAUGACAUUCAUCACUAAUAAAAAAAAAAUUUGAAAAUGGAAAGAUACUAUAAUGUAUUAUGAAGAAGGCUGUUCAAAAUGAUUCCUUUUACAAGACUGAUUUACUUCAAGAUCUUAAGUUGAAAUCUAAAAGAAGAAUGUGAGACAGAAGAGAAUAAAAGAGUUGAGGCUAAAAGUACAACUACUCCAGCAAGUUAACCGGGCUUUAGCCAAUUCAACAGUUCUGUGGUUGACAAAAUAUACAAGGCGUACAACCAUAGUUGUAAAAUUGAGAAUUGAAAUUUUCAUUUUGUGAAUCUUGAAUCAAGAAUCGAAUCUUACGAUUCAGAAAAACAUAUUUAAAAAUUAAUUAAAAAUAAUAUAUGUUCUAAAAAUAAGAAUAAAAAUUAUCAUAAUCACAUAUUUUAAUAAAUAUAGAAUUAUUAUUUAUAAUAAUAUAUUUUUAUUAUAUUAUAUAGUUUUAUAUUAUAAAUUAGAAGCUCUUAAAUUAUAAAUAAUGAUUAUCAUUAUGUAUAUACUGAAACUCUCACUUAAAUUUAUCAAAUAAUUAAAUAAUAAAAAAGUUAAUAUGUUACAUUGAAACAUUACAAUAUAUUAAUAUAAGAGAGAAAGGGAAAGGGAAAAAAUGGGUGAUGGAAGAAAAAUAGAUUAGCAAAAAGUUUAUGUGCACUUUUUAUAGCAAAAAUAAAUGAAUUAUGAAACUAAUACCCUUUCAAAAUAUAAUCCCUUGAAUUGAAUAAAAAUUUGGUCUUUUCAUAACGAUUCACUUGAUUCAUUAUCAAUUCUUUCAAUUUAGUCUCAAUUUAGGUAUGGUUUGCGUCAUAGAUGCGAAUCGCUUGAAUGUGAAAUAGAAUUGAGAAUCAUAAUAUUUGAAUCAAGAAUCAUAAGAUCAAUUAUAUUUAAGAUUCGCCAUAUAAAUUCAAAUCGAUGUGGUAGAAAAUAAAUUUGAAUCAUAAGAUUCGAAUUGAGAAUAGUGGGUAUACAGAUUAAACCAUUUGUCAUUAACAUAUAUAAGGUGUAGAGAAGAGGACACCUAGUUCAUUAAUAUAAAUCAUCAUGUUACAUUUAAGAUUGAGAAGCAGCUAAUAAUUCCAUCAGAAAGUAGGUCCAGCAAUUUAGUUACAAGGGAGACUGAGUGGGUGAUGUUUUGGAUACUUGUUCAAUUAUUGUUGAAGCAGGAUCAGACUUGAAGUUGAGGAUGCAAGCAAAUUAUCUCCAACGACAAGAUAAGAUAAAAGAAAACCACGAGUAUGGACCAAAUCGCACUACAACUGAGCUGCAAGGUGUCUAGAUCAUAUAUCUAAUAUUUGUGUUUGUGGAAGUAUUUUCAUAUCUUUAUAAGAAUUUAGUAUUUUAAUCCGUAUUAGCCAAAGAUUGUAGCUAGAGUUCGAGUAAAAGGAGAUUUCGUGUGAAAAGAAGGAUUUUGCAAAAAUUUUAUAAAUAUCUAAAAAUCAAUGUGUAAAGAGGGUUUGGUCUUCACCUUGAAGAAACUUUUAGGGGAACGAAAGAAUGUAGGUGGGAAAGGGCUAAACCUCUAAACUUCUAUUUGCAAUAUUUUCUAACAAUACUGUCUAUUUUUAUUGAACUUGUGCAUGCGUUGCUUAUACUGUGGUCGCUGAGUAUUAAUAGGAAAUUAUCUUUAGAAGAUCUUAUUAUAUCUGUGUCAAAUUUUUCAGAAACAUAAUUUACUCCCUUCUUGGGUUACCUUCGAGCCUUGUAACUGCCAUGAUAAAUGUUUCUAGUCCCAUGGAUACCAACUAUUAAAACCUGUACAAAGCUGCACUAAUCUCAAAAUCAAUAUGAUGGUGAGAAUAAGAUAAAAGUCACAAUGAGAGAAGAUCAUUCCACAAACAAGCCAAACCACCAUCCGAAUUAGAAUCCCUUAUGACAAAUAUAUUCUUAUACCCAAACAUAUACUUAGUACACCUCAUCCUCUCUUAGCCAACUUAAAUUUCCAUGAGAGAGAAUAUCAGAAACUUGAGGCAAAUACAAAUGCCGAAGCUUAGCAACAAAUCAAUAGUAUUCUCAGUUGAGAAAAUUGAAGAGAGAUAAGAGCAUAGUAAGACUUGAUAAUAGUAUCAACAUAUGGGAAACAGGAACAAAUAGUUGAAUAUAUUAAUCGCAGCCAAGGCUAAGGAGACUUGAUCAUCUUCGUUUGCAGAUCAUUUGCAUCCUUAUAUUAACUUGUUAUGCACUUAAUAUUGUGGCCCAUCCUUAAGGUAAGUGUUGUCACUGUGUAUCCAUAUACUUUCUGAUUUCAUAUUCCCUUGUAAGACUUCAACAAUCUGUAUCAAGUAGCAAUAUUAGUUAACAACUAGGGAUGACAUGGAUGAUAAUUAACUUAAACAAAUUAUUUUUUUCAAAUUUCUGUGAUUUUUUAAAUAUUAAUAAUUUUGCAUCAACUUGCAAAUUAUGUAUAAUUGUUUCCGUAUAUAUGAAUCCUGUAAUUUAAAAAAUAGUAAUAAUAUAUUUAGCCAAUACUUAAAAAAUAAUUAAAGGUAGGUCUAUUGAUUUUAUCAUACCUGACUUAAUUUUGGACGAGUUUUCGCAGGUUUGUAUACACAAGCUGCAGCACAAUGAAUCAUUUGAAUCAUUUCAAUUAUUUCACAAUUGUUCUGCAAUUUGACAUCAAUAAUACUGUUGUAAUUAUGUGUAUUAAAAGCUUCUGCGAGUUGAGGUGCCACCUGAAAUUUUAAGAUAAAAAGUAUUAGCGAUAAUUAUAUAUCUCUUAUCAUAGAAAUAUAUAAUUUUAUUCAAACGUUAAUAUAAAAAUAAUUAAAACAAUACUAACAUAACAAAAAAUUUCAUGCUUGUUUACAUGUUUAAUUUCAAAAUAAAUCAAUUACAACAUUAAAAUGGCAGAACUAAUUUUGUUUUGAAAAAAAAAAAGAUAACAUAAAAAUUAUAUUACUCUUAAAUUAACAACACUGUAAUGCUAAUAUUCUAUCCAAUCAAACAUAUUUCUAUUCGGUAUACAAGAAUCUAAACUUAAUGUGUAUAUUUCAUCUUAGUUUUGCUUAUCUUGAGGCCCUUACUCUUGAGAAUCCUUAUCCAUAACUCCAAAAUUAACUCAUUGAUUAAAUUUAUCCACUGAGACAACAAAAUUAUAAAUAAUAUACAUCAUGGAACAUCAUAUUUAAAAUGUCUAACCAUAACUAAAAUUAUUAUAUCGAGACUUAAAGUUGAUCUCUAAGGUAAACCUAACAUUAUUCUCUCGUACAUGUCCUUAGUAAUUGUUAUAGAUUAUAGGAAGUAAAUAUUCUAAUAUAGGAAAUAAAUAUUAAUAAAUGUAUUAGUUGCUUAAUCUUAGGAAUUUCAUAAACAUAAGUUUGAUUUUCUUUCCUUUCUAGAUAUGAUUUCUCAUGUAUAAAUAUGUUGUAAUCUUUAUUGUAAGAAGAAUAACAAAUAUUACCUUUCUACAUUGUAUCAGAGCCUCUCAUGUGAGAUUUGAAUUUUUUUUCCUGUUCUAUUUGGAGACUCGGGACUCCUGUUCUUUUAGGUUAUCUAUAGAGGGUAACAUUUAUCUCUCACCGCUCACCCAGGAAAGACGCGGGAGCGCUGGCGAAGCGUCCCUAAAGAGCCGACGGUUGUCCGGCCAGCGAGUGAGUUUCACACACCGCGGUAAGAUUUCUGACGGUCCCACUCAUCAGCACGUGGAGGUGCGUCGCAUGUCCGUUGCUACUCUGGUCACCCUCACCGGAGUCGCCUCGAAGCCCCCUCAGUAGUUCUGCAGUCUGUUUGCCGAUUAGGUAUUGAGUAUAGGUGUUUUUAGGUUUGGAUCGCAUUCUGGCACUAUUCACCUCCAUUCUCUGGUACUGUUCACGCCUUAUUUCUUAUGAUUGCCAUUAUUUUGGUUGGUUGUUCUUAUGGCUGUAAUUAAAAACACCGUAGCUAAGGUAAUUUUGGUGAUGACUAAAAUCACGGAAUACAAAUUAAAUAGAUCUAAUUUUAUGGAUUGGAGUAAAACUAUCCGUAUUUAUUUAUAAAGUAUUAGAAUGGAUGAUCAUCUUACCAAGAAUCCUCCAAUUGAUGAAACUAAGAAAGAUAGGAUAAGGGAUGGUACUCGAUAAUUUUUGCAGAUCCAAAAUUCUAUUCAUAGUAAGGUAAUCAGCCUCAUUAAUUAGUAUGAAUUUGUUAAAGAAUUAAUGGAUUAUUUGGAUUUUUUAUAUUCUGACAAAGAGAAUAUUUCUCGUAUUUAUGAUAUGUGUAAGGCAUUUUAUCAAGCUGAGAAAUAUGAUAGAACUCUGACCUUCUAUUUUAUGAAUUUUAAAAGAGUGUAUGAGAAACUUAAUGUCUUGAUGCCUUUCAGUACAAAUGUGAAAACUUAACAAGCUCAACGAGAGCAAAUGGCUGUUAUGAGCUUCAUUGCAGGUCUUCCUCCAAAGUUUGAGAUAGUUAAAUCUCAAAUUAUUUCUUACUCUAAAAUAUCAUUGUUACAUGAUAUUUUCACUAGAGUGUUGCAUACAAAGUCUCCAAUUCCUUCACACACCACUAGUACUUUUGUUAGUCACAAUGACAGUGGAAGAUAAAAUAACAGAGGUAGGUACAAGGGAGAUUUUAACGGUGGUAGGGGAUCUGAGCGUCCUUGGAAAGCAAUUCCUACUUCUGACUCCGGUGGAAUCAUUUGUUAUUACUGCCGUGAACCUGGACAUACUAAGAAGACAUGCCUGAAACUUCAAAAUAAGAAUCAGCGCUUACAAAUGGUGCAUAUAGUAGUUGAGGCCUCUUCUGAUCAAGAAAUUUUGAUAUCUGCAGAUGAGUAUGCACAAUUCACUCAAUACUAGGCACCUCUGAAAUCCUCCAACUCUUUUAUCACUGCAAUUACUAAGUCAGGUAACUCUACUACAUGUCUUGUAUCUUCAUCCUCCAAAUGGAUUAUUGAUUCUGGCACUACCGAUCUUUUGUCAGGUAAUUCUACACUUUUGUCCAAUCUUAAGUCUCAUGCAUCAUCUUCUUAUGUUACUUCUUAUGUUACUCUUGUUGAUAGCACUAAAUCUUCUAUCAUGAGUUCUGGACAUGUCAACUUAACCCUUUCUCUUUAUGUAUCCUCUGUGUUAUGUCUUUCUAAGUUCUCCUUUAAUUUGCUUUCCGUUAGUAAACUUACUCGUGCACUGAAUUAUUGUGUCUCAUUCUUUCCUGAUCAUUGUGUUUUUCAGGAUCUUUCAACAAAGCAGAUUAUUAAUAGAGGGCGUGAAUCAGAUGGUCUUUACUUCCUGGAUCAAUAACUACCUAGAUCUCUUGCAUGUUCCACGAGUGUAACGUCUUUUGAUGUUCAUUGUCAUUUGGGUCACCCUUCUCUCUCAGCUUUGAAGAAGUUAUGUCUAUAGCUUCACUCCUUGUCUGUUUUAGAUUGUGAGUCUUAUCAUUUGCCAAAUGUCACCGUUUACCUAUAGCGUCUCGAGUCAAUAAACGGGCUUCAUUCUCUUUUGAGUUAGUACAUUCAGAUGUUUGGAGUUCUUGUCCUAUUGUGUUUAAGUCUAGCUUUAAGUACUUUAUUACUUUUGUUGAUGAUUUCUCUCGCACUACUUGGUUAUUUCUAACGAAGAGUCGUUCAGAAUUAUUCUCUAUCUUUUGUGCUUUGUAUGCUAAAUUCCAAACUCAAUUAAAUAUUUUCAUUUGAAUAUUGUAAAGUGAUAAUGUUAAAGGGUAUCUUUAUGUGGAAUUUCAAUUUUAUUUGUUACAAAAAGGGAUUCUUAAUUAGUUUUUCUAUGUUGACGCUCCUUCAUAGAAUGGGGUUGCAGAAAGAAAAAAUCAACAUCUUCUUGAAGUAGCUAGAGCCCUCUUAUUCCAAAUGAAAGUACCUAAAUACUUUUAGGCUGAUGCUGUAUCCACUGCUUUUUUUUUAUCAAUCGCAUGUCCUCCUCCGUCCUUCAUGGUGAUAUCGCUUAUAAUAUUUUAUUUUAACUAAAUCAAUAUUUCCUAUUGAGCCACGUAACUUUGAUUGUACUUAUUUUGUUCAUGAUGUUUGUCUACAGGUUACUAAAUUAGAUCUCAAAUCACUUAAAUGUGUCUUUCUUGGCUACUCUCGACUUUAAAAAGGGUAUCGUUAUUUUUUUCCUGAUCUUAAUCUGUACUUUGUGUCUGUUGAUGUAACAUUUUUUGAUUCCACUCUAUUCUUUUGACUAUUAUCUGUUUAUGACACCCAAGGAAAGGAAAAUAACCUCUUGUUAUGCACUGUUCGCUCUCUGACUCCUCAGAUUCUUCCUGCACCUUCCGCUCAUGUGCUUGGUCGCGCUCCCAUUUUUCAUGUUUAUUCUAGAUGCUUAGAGGACUCUGACUCCGCUCCACUACUAGCUUCUUCGUCGACAGACCUUGCUCUCACUGAUCCUUCACCGUCUGAUUUAGAUUUACCCGUUGCUCUUCGCAAAGGUAAAUGUACUUGCACUCAUUCUAUUUCAUCUUUUGUCUCUUAUAGUCAAUUAUCCUCUUCUUCUCAUUGUUUUGCCACUACUUUAGAUUCUAUUUCAGUCCCCAAACUAUUAUUGAGACUUUAUCCCAUCCUGGUUAGCGUGCUGCGAUGGAAGAAGAAAUAAUGGCCCUAGACAUUAAUGGUACUUGGGAGUUGAUAUCCUUGCCCCUAAGGAAAUGGGCUAUUGGGUGUAAAUGGGUGUUUGCAGUGAAAGUAAAGUCUGAUGGAUCUGUUGCUCACCUUAAGGCCCGUUUAAUGGUCAAGGAUUAUGCUCAAACUUAUAGAGUUGACUAUUUUGAUAAUUCUCUCUAGUUGUCAAGCUCGCAUUUGUUCCAUUAUUUAUUUCCUUGGCAGCUACACAUGAUUGGGCUUUGCAUCAACUGGAUAUUAAAAAUAUUUUUCUCCAUGAUGACCUUCAGGAGGAGGUUUAUAUUGAGCAACCACUUGAUUUUAUUGCUCAGGGGAAGUUAGGCAAGGUUUGUAGACUUCGAAAAUCCCUCUAUGGCUUGAAACAGAGAUUUCGGGCAUGAUUUGGCAGGUUUAGUGAGGUAGUCCAACAGUUUGAAAUGAAGAUGAGUAAGUGUGAUCACUUAGUGUUUCAUAGAAAUUCUAAUAAUAGAGUAAUUCUGCUUGUAACAUAUGUGGAUGAUAUUGUUAUCAUAUGCUUUUUUAAGUCGAUGAAUAACAUGUAUAAUUCUUCUUUAUCUUCCGAUAAAUUACCACUAAACUUCUUAAUAAAGAAAUAGAUUUUAUUGUAAAUCUAUCGAAUUUUCCCUACUUUUCCACUAUGUCCUUUUAAGAUACUAGUUAAGUCCAAACAAUGCUUGAACUUGCUCACAAUGAGAGAUUUAGUCAUCAUAUCAAUUGGAUUUUCUACAAUAUCAAUUUUCUUAAUAAAAAAUAUUACCCUUACUGAUAAUAUCACAAACAAAAUAGUAUCUCACAUCAAUGUGCUUCGUCCUCUCUUGAAACAUUUGAUCUUUUGUCAAAUGAAUAGCACUUUAGUUAUCGCAAUGGACGAUAGUCACCUAUUGACUUGUAUUGAGCUCACCAAAUAAACCUCUUAACUAAAGAGCUUCUUUUAUAGCCUCAGCUAUUACCAUGUACUUUGCUUCAAUAGUAGAUAAUGCAAUUAUAGGCUGUAAAGUAGUUUUUCAGCUAAUAACAGUAUUGCCAAGAGUAAACACAGCCUGUAAUGGAUAUUAUUUUAUCCAUAUCACCUGCAUAAUCUGAAUUAACAUAACCGACAACAUUGUUCUUACUCCUUUCAAAGUGUAAAGAAUAAUUAAUAUUGCCUUACAAAUAUCUCAAAAUCCACUUCAUGCUUGCUAAUUUUCUUUUCAAAAUUAGAUAUGAAUCUACCAACCACACUAAUUGCAUGUGAAAUAUCAGGACAAGUACAGAUUGUAGCAUAUAUAACACUACCAACAGCAUUGAGGUAAGAAACAUUUGAUAUUUAUUCAAUAUCUUUUUCUGGCUGAGGUGAUAAAGCAGCUGAUAAUCUAAAAUGACCACCAAGUGGAGUACUUAUAAGUUUCACAUUUUUCAUACCAAAAUGCUCUAAGACAUUCUUAAUAUAACUCUUCUAAAUUAGACAUAAUAUACCCAUAGUUCUAUUUCUUUGAAGCUGCAUACCUAAAAUUUUUGUUGUUGCUCCUAAAUCCUUCGUCUCAAAUUCACCACUCAACUCAUUCUUUAAUUUAUUGAUCUUAGACAUAUUCUUGGCAGCAAUGAGAAUAUCAUCAAUAUAAAACAAUAAAUAAAUGAAUGAACCAUCAAUAAAUUUUUUGAAAUACACACAACUAUCAAAUUGGCUCCUCGAAUAGUCAUAUUAAACCAUAAAGAGUCAAAUCAUUUAUACCACAAUCGAAAAGAUUGUUUCAAAUUAUACAAUGACUUCUUCAGCAGUCAAAUAUGGUCUUCUUUCCCUUCAACUUCAAAACCCUCAAGUAACAUUUAAAUCGUCUCUUUCAGGUCACCAAUCCAGUUGCCCUAGCUCUAAAUUACAUAUGGCAACUAAUGCAAGCAAGACAUAGAUAAAGCUAUGUCUAAUAACAUGUGAGAAAAUAUCAUUAAAUUCAAUCUCGCAAACCUAACUAUAGUCCUUUGCUAUCAAUCGUGCUUUGUAUCUAGCAUCUUCAAUACUUGAAAUUCCCUCUUUCUUCUUAAAGGCACAUUUGCAUCCAACAAUUUUCUUAUCUUUUAGUAGUUUGGCCAAUUCCAAAAUCCUGUUCUUGUAGAGAGAUUUCAUCUCCCAUUUCAUGGCAACUAACCAUCUAGCUUAAUCAUCACAAGAGAUUGAAUAUGAGCAUGUGAAAGAUUCACCACUAGCUUCCAUUUCUUAUGUCAUUGACAUUACAAGAGAAACAUAAUUUGUAUGAAGCAACUUGCUAGGUAAUUUCCUCUAUCUUUUGGGUCUUAGACUUUCUUCUUGUUGUAAUGUUUCAGUCUGAACAGGAGAAGAUAACUGAACAGGGACUUGUUGUGAAGAAUUAUCAUGUGUAGGUGCAGACUCCACCUCUAACUCAAUCCUAUUAACUAGAUCCAUUGAACUCGUGUUUAGCUCCACAAUCGAAUCUUUUAAACCUGAAUCUGAAGAAGCAAACGAUUCCUUAAACAUCUCAUAUUCAUUAAAUUAAAUACGACAUCUCUACUGAUCACUGAUUUUGACAGAUCAUGAUCUAGAAGUCAUACUUUGUAUCCCUUGACACCAGAUGGAUAACCAAUAAAAAUACCUUCUAUGGAUCUAGCCUCCAAUUUUUCACUAUUGGUAUGAAAAUAAACAGGACAACCAAAUACCCUCAAAUAGAAUAACCAGGAGAGUUACUAGACCAUACUUCUUUGGAAGUCUUUAAUUCAAUAGUUGUGGAUGGAGAAUAGUUCACCAAAUAGUAUACUAUAAUAGUUGCUUCUAUCCAAAAAUCCCGAGACAAGCUAAAAUUAGACAACAUAUAAUUAACUUUUUCUAACAAAGUUUUGUUCAUGUGCGCUGCAACACCAUUAUGCUGUGGAGUCCCUCUGUCUUUGAGAUGCCUAAAAAUGCCUUCAUCUUUGCAGAACUUGUUAAAUUCACUAUCACAAAACUCUAGUCCAUUAUCUGUGCGGAGCCUUUCAAUCUUCUCACCUAUUUGCUAAAAGGAAGGAAAAUAAGCAAAAAUAAAUCUAGUUACAACAGGCCACAAAUUUUUUGCUACAAUAGAUUUCCUGCUUGGCUAGGUAUCAUAUAUCAAAUUCACUUCUCUGUGAGCAUGUUGAAUACGAAAGGUAAGAAAGACUUUAGAUAAGCUAAUGAUAGAAUUGUGCAUUGAGAAAACCUCCAAAGAUAUUUAUCUUGGGGAGACACCCGAGAAACUGCAACAAUAGAAUUAGAUUCCACAAGACACCAUGCAUUAAGGACCAAACAUCUCAAUGAGGAGCUAGAAUACUUAAGGCCUUUUCUAUUGUAAGAAGUUCAGCUACAUUUGAGUCUACAAUACCAACAGGACAUGAGAAAACACAUAUAAACAUACUAUGUGACUCACAUAGCACACCUCCAAUAGCAGCUGACCUGACUUCCAAAUGGAGGAACCAUCAACAUUCCAUUUAAUCCAAAAAGGAUCAAGCUUAACCCAAAAGAAAUUAGGCCUAGGCCUAGCCUAGAGCAAUAAGAUGACCACAUCUGAUAGCUUCAAAAGAAAUUAGAAGAUUUAAACUAGAAGAAGGAAAAGAAGCGUCCAAAGCUUUCAUCCAAAUGGACGCACGAUGGAGGAUAGGAGGGCGUAAGAAAUCCAUAUUAAGAUCUUUUCCAUCAAAAUUUUCUCUUUUCUAGUCAAGUACAGAGACCAUAUUAUAGCAUUAGCUAGUAACAAGCAAAACUUAGUUUGGAACUUCCCAUGAGCCAAGAAUUUCUAUUCGGAUAAAAGCAAAGGGACUGAACUUGGUUAGUAAAAGUGAAUGCCCCAUCAUUUGAGAAAUCAUGUACAAAUCUCCCUAGAAAGAUGGCAAUGGAGAAAAAUGUGAGAAACUGAUUCUUGAUAGAGCUCGUAUCUAGGACCAUAGUAUUAAGAAGGUAGAAUAUUUUUAUUUUGGACAAAAAUAUUAUUGUAAUGUCCAAUAUCAUGGAACUAACAUUUCAACUAGGAGGCUCCAUUGCAGAGGUAACCUUCCAUAACCUCUGUGUUCUCAAAGCUUAGAAGUACAUGAUCUCCACCUACUCCUUCCUCAGCAAAAAGCUCAUGCAUAAUAGGGAUGAGGUUUUUAUCAUUUUGCAAGAGUAGAUUUUGGUAACCAUUCACUAUUAAAAGAUUUUAUGUUCUCCGAAAUCUCAUACCUACCACAGACAAUAUAUGAACUGCCAGUGAAGGAUCUCAUCUCAAGACAAAUAUCAAAAGGUGGGACAACUCUAUCUAUCUUUGUUCGAGGAACAAAAAAUUGUUUGUAUUUGAAGCUCCACAUUGAUUUUGAUUAUGGCUACCGUUAUAAUCAAGUUUUGAGUUACCGAUCUUACCAUUCUUGGUAGUAAUGCUGAAGUAUGACUUGAAAGCUCGUAAUUUAAAGGUGUUGAUCCAAAGAAGAUUAAGGUUCGAAUAAGAUUUCACAUUACUGAGAUAGUAUGGACUUUUAUAAAAGAAAAAUGCUUCCCACUCUUGUUUAACUUUCUUAGGACAAAAAUAUCUGCAACGUGAGCAAACUUGAAGAUAAUCUUGCACAGCAAGGCAGUCACAAAAACUAGGUAGGUUUUCAAGAUAGAUAGUGGGAAAAAGUCUUCUUAAGGGAGGGGUUGAGAUGACCAUUAUGGGACGAUUGAGUGGAAAAAUGGAGUUAAUAGAUAAGUAAGGAAUCAAGUUUUUCUUUUUUCGAUCUACGAUAAAGGUAAUACAAGCUCAUUAAGAGAGAACUUGAAAAUCUUUUGAGUUAAGUACUCAAUAACUUUUAGAAAAAUUCUAUCAUAUCUCCUUUAUUAAUUUACUGCACUUAAAUAGCCAAGGCAAAAGACAACCUCAUCUUACAUAUAAGGAAACUCAAAAGUAUGAACUAAACAUGGAGGAACACCUUCCUACGAUUAAGGAAUUAAAAGCAACAACUAAUUAUCUGGAGAAUAUGGUUGAACUAAACCCACAGAAUAUGGCAGCAGCUCAAUCAUGUUGCAAGAAAACAAGAAUUUCUGAAUUGCCCUGUUUAGUGGCUUUGACCCGGUCUUGUAUUUCAAUAUUCUUCUUCCUCCAUGUGUGAAACUCGUGUAUAUUAGUAAGGGUUUGCUAACAACUGGCUAAUUGGGAUGGACCAAGGGUAUGAUAUGAAGGAGAGACUAGGUUGGCAGUGAUGCUGGAGGAAGAGUUGAUAGGGACAUGAUUUUUUUUUUUUCCAGUUAAGAUUAUAUAUAUGAAAAUAUGUGAAUAAAAUAUUAAAAAUAAAGGUUCAUGAAAAUAACAUUAUAGCAAACAUUCAUUACUAAAAGAAAGUUUGUACUAGUUGUAUGUUGUUACUUUAUAUAUUUUAACUGUAGCCAUAUGUUAAUAACAAGAGUUUGAGAAUUGCUAUAUCUACCUCUGCUACUGAAUAUAAGACGGUGAUUUACUUAUUUUUUUUUUAUAAUGAAUAAAAAACAUGGAUAAAAUUAUAAUUUUAUUAAAUAUAAAAUUAACUUUAUAUUAAAAUAUAUUACUAAUAAUAAAACUAUAAAUUUUCUUUAUAAUAAUUUUAAGAGAUAAUUUUACACCCAUUAUUGUUGUCUAAACUCUAAAAUGUAACCUCUAAAAUGUAACCGUGAUUUAUUUUGUUAGAAUGAGUUAUAAAAAAGUAUAAAAACAUGCAUGUCUGAACCAAAUAAAACGUAAUAUGUGAAUGAUUUAAUGAUUGUUAGAGUAAAUAAAUACUAUUAUUUAUUUACUCUAACAAUGAUGCAUGGAUUUUUGUAAUCAAGAAUGUAUUAACCGUGAUAAAUUAGUACUCUAGAUAGUGGAACAAAUGUAUACACGUACCCAAGCAACUAAGUUCAUGGAAAAAUUGCCUUCCCUUAUUACAGAUGGUUUUCCAGUAAUCAAUUCUAGAAGAACCACACCGAAGGAAAAGACAUCAACUUUUUCACUGAUCUUGCCAUCUUUGAGAAACUCAGGAGCCAGAUAACUACAAUUGGGGAACACAAGUAUGAGAAGAACCUAUUCGAUAAAUAGUGUGUAUAUAUAUAUAUAUGCACCUUACCCACGGUUUUCCAUUGCCUUAUUAUAAAUAUAGGCAACUAAAUAUGGAUGUUCUUGGGCAAGUACAAAACCUGAAAUCUGGAAUGAAAGAAUUUAUACAAGUCCAAUUAUUUUUUCAAAUAGCAUAAAAAUCAAAUUAUUGGCUCUAUUUUAUAUUUCAAAUUGAACUUAAUGAGUUUAUAAUUGAUAAGAAUUACUAUAAAAGAAACUUAUUAUAAUUAUUCUAAUUAUUGAGAAUGAAAACCAUAUUAUAUGUUUUAACAAUAUACAGUUAGACUCGGCUGAAAAAAAUUUAAAAUAAUUUAUGCUAAAUGUUUCAUACAAUAAUAUUGUAGAAUACAUCAUUAACAAAGCAAACUUUUAGUGUCUUUUGUUUUUGGAAAAUAUUUUCCUCAAAAUAUAUUUAAUAUAUUUAAGGUUUAAACCAUUUAAAAAGUAGGUCAACGAUAUUUUAAUUAAAGAAAAAACCAAGUCUCUUUUUUUUUGUGAAGCUAGACUCUAAGCUUACAUUUAAUUUAUUAGGUUAACUCUGGAAAGAUUUGUGUAAGCUGGUAAGAUACAAAUACUGUUGUAUCGACUGAUGAAUGAAUAGAGCUGAUUAUAUAGAAAAGAUUUACAAGUUUAAAAUUUGAACAUUAACAUAAAAGAAUAUAAUAUUAUCAUAAUUCUAACAAGCUUAUUUUUCAUUUAUUCAAAUUGGACUGCCUUCAUACCCUCCAUAUUUCAUCAAUCUAGUUCAAAUUUCAGAAACAUAUAUACGUAUAUGAUUAAGAUUCUCAAGAGAAAUUGUAUGACAUGUAUAUAGAGAUAUUAGCAACAAUUAUAGGAGCAUGCAUCAAGUUUUAUCUCCCUUAACUUGCUAACAACCGGCUAAUUGGGAUGGACCAAGGGUGCAAUACGAAGGUGUGGAGAGACUAGGUUGGCAGUGAUGCUGGAGGAAGGGUUGAGAGGGACAUGAUUUUUUUUUUUUUUCCUAGUUAAGAUGAUAUAUAUAAAAAUAUGUGAAUAAAAUAUUAAAAAUAAAGGUUCAUGAAAAUAACAUUAUAGCAAACAUUCAUUAUUAAAAAAAAAGUUUAUACUAGUUGUAUAUUGUUACUUUAUAUAUUUUAACUAUAGUCAUAGGUUAAUAACAAGAGUUUGAGAAUUGCUAUAUCUACCUCUGCUACUGAAUAUAAGACGGUGAUUUACUUAUUUUUUUAUAAUGAAUAAAAAAUAUGGAUAAAAUUAUAAUUUUAUUAAAUAUAAAAUUAACUUUAUAUUAAAAUAAAUUACUAAGAAUAAAACUAUAAAUUUUUUUUAUAAUGAUUUUAAGAGAUAAUUUUACACCCACUGUUGUUGUCUAAACUCUAAAUGUAACCUCUAAAAUGUAACCGUGAUUUAUUUUGUCAGAAUGAAUUAUAAAAAAGUAUAAAAACAUGUCUGUCUGAACCAAAUAAAAUGUAAUAUGUGAAUGAUUUAAUGAUUGCAAUGAUGCAUGGAUUUUUGUAAUCAAGAAUGUAUUAACCGUUAUAAAUUAGUACUCUGGAUAGUGGAACAAAUGUAUACACGUACCCAACCAACCAAGUCCAUGGAAAAGUUGCCUUCCCUGGUUUUCCGCUAAUCAAUUCAUGAAGAACCAUACCCAAGGAAAAGACAUCAGCUUUUUCACUGAUCUUGCCAUCUUUGAGAAUCUCAGGCCUGGGGAACACAAGCAUGAGAAGAACCUAUUCAAUAAAUAGUGAAUGGAUAUAUAUAUGCACCUUACCCACGGUUUUCCAUUGCCUUAGUAGAAAUACGGGCAACAAAAUUUGAAAGUACUUGGCCAAGUUCAAAACCUGAAAUCUGGAAUGAAAGAAUUUAUACAAGUCCAAUUAUUUUUUCAAAUAGCAUAAAAAUCAAAUUAUUGGCUAUAUUUUAUAUUUCAAAUUGAACUUAAUGAGUUUAUAAUUGAUAAGAAUUACUAUAAAAGAAACUUAUUAUAAUUAUUCUAAUUAUUGAGAAUGAAAACCAUAUUAUAUAUUUUAACAAUAUACAGUUAGACUCGGCUGAAAAAAAUUUAAAAUAAUUUAUACUAAAUGUUUCAUACAAUAAUAUUGUAGAAUACAUCAUUAACAAAGCAAACUUUUAAUGUCUUUUUUUUUUUUUUGGAAAAUAUUUUCCUCAAAAUAUAUUUGAUAUAUUUAAGGUUUAAGCCAUUUAAAAAGUAGGUAAAUGAUAUUUUAGUUAAAGAAAAGACUAAGUCUCUUUUUUUGGUGAAGCCAGACCCUAAGCUUACAUUUAAUUUAUUAAGGUUAACUCUGGAAAGAUUUGUGUAAGCUGGUAAGAUACAAAUACUAUUGUAUCGACUGAUGAAUGAAUAGAGGUGAUUAUAUAGAAAAGAUUUACAAGUUUAAAAUUUGAACAUUAACAUAAAAGAAUACAAUAUUAUCAUAAUUCUAACAAGCUUAUUUUUCAUUUAUUCAAAUUGGACUGCCUUCAUACCUUCUAUAUUCCAUCAAUCUAGUUCAAAUUUCAGAAACAUAUAUAUGUAUAUGAUUAAGAUUCUCGAAAGAAAUUAUACGACAUGUAUAUAGAGAUAUUAGCGACAAUUAUAGGAGCAUACAUCAAGUUUUAUCUCUCUUAAAACUUACCUUUGGUUCAAAGUUAUUGUCAAGAAGAAUAUUAUGAGAAGUGAUAUUUCCAUGUAUGACCAUAGGAGUACCUAAAAAUACACGAAUCAUAAAAUUAAAGUAAAACAUGCAAUCUCAAACAUGAAAAUAGAAUUUGAUUUACACUCACAAAAUUCAUGCAAAUAUGCCAAUCCUUUCGCACAGCCUAUGGCAAUUUUCUUUCUUCUAGACCAAUCGAUUGUUUUCUUGUGUCCUGCAUCUAAUCAAAUCUUAUAAAUGAGUACCCUUUUUCUAUUUAGAUAAAUGGAAGGCAUUUGGAUAAUCCUUCACAUAAUUAUCUAUCAAUUUUUGUAUGAUACGUAUAGUCAAGGACUCACCAUGUAAAUGAAAUCUCAAUGACUUGUUAGGAACAAACUCAUAAACAAUAAAUUUAUCAUAUUCUUCAUCGCAAUAUCCAAUCAGCUUGUUUAGAUAUUGGUAAUUGUGAUUGAUGGGAUUAACCAUUUGUUCAACUUCCAUCUGUUCACCCUCCCAAAGAUAAAGCUUGUUAAUGGCAACAGCCAUUCCAUCGAGUUCCCCCCUGUAAACUCUAGCAUAAUUAUCAUCGCGAAGCAUGCAAUUGUUGGAGAAAAAUUGAGUUGCAAUUGCUAGUUCUUCAAAAGAAAACAUUCUCGGCGAAAAAAUUUGUGCCCUCUCAAUGCCAAGUAGAGAUUCUAGACUAGUAGUAGGCCUUCCUGUAUGUGCAGUAGAAAUGUUAUACAAAUAUAUAAGCAGACAUAAAUUGAUAUAUGGAGUUCUAGUUGGGUUUACAACCCUAUUAAUCAUGGGUUGGAUAAACAACAUGAAUCCAAUAUACAUUUAAGUUUAAUAUAUUUACUCCCUCAAUUGCAUCAAUAAUAACAAUUUGAUUCCGUAUUUUGAAAUUAGUGUAUCUUUUGAUUUUACUUCAGCCACACACUUGAAUCCUUCUGUCAUGUGCUGUUAGUUUUUAAAAAUAAACUACUAUUUAAUUUUUAAAUUUUGUCAUUAUUUACAGUUUCAUUCCUUAAUUUUGUAAUUAGUUAUAAUUUUAUCCCUCAUAUUUAUCUCUUUUACCAUUCUCACUUUCUUUAUCACUCCCUCCAUCUAUAUAUCUGUCUCUUCUCUAUGACAAAGAAGAGAAAAGAGAUAAAGUAGAUGAAUGAAAUAUGAAUAAUUUCAAAAUUAAAGAAUGAAAUUGGAAAUAGUUAUAAUAUUAAGGGACUAUAUAGUAAUUUCGUAAAAUACUAACGCAAAAUGGACGAAAGUAUCUAAGUAUACGACAAAUUUUUAGAAAAUAUAUCUAAUAAAUGAAUGGAAAAUGGCUUAAGGAAUUUUUAGAAAAUAUAUGUAAAGAUGAGGAAUUUUAUGUAAUUUCAAAGAUGGAGAUUUUUAUGUUAGCAUACUAAAGAUAAAGGAGCAAAGUGUAACAAACUCUAAAUUUGAAAAGCUGAGUAUAAAUUAUCCAAAAUUUAUAUAUAUUAUUAAAUUCAUGCAUCUGUUUAUCCUUAAAUUUAUGCAUUUUAAUUUAUCAUGUGUUAAUAUUUUCAAAAAACAGUAAAAAAUAGUCAUAUCUCUAAUUUUGUAAACUUUAUAUUAUUACUUAAGUAAAAUUUGAAAAUAAAAAUAACUUUUUGCAAAUUUAUAAUUUUAAUGAAAAGUCACUAAUUAAAAGUAAUAAAGUCGCAUAUAUAAUUUCAAUUACCCUGUAUAGUUUCAAUGUCUUUCCUGUCUAUUAUCUUCUCAUGCGAAAUAGUUCCUUCAAGAACUCCAAUUAUCUGCAUGAGAUAAACUAAUUCAUGAAUGAAACAAAAUACGAUUAUAUUAAAAAAAUAAAAUAGCUUAUAAUUUUAUCAAAUUUCAGCAAAAGACCAAAUAUAUUUACGUGUAAAAUUAUUUAUUUGCAUAAUAUGAAAGAACAUUUUUAAAAUAAAAAAUGAUAAUGAUUGUGCAUAUGUGUAAUAUUUAGGAUAAAGAAAAGCAAACCAAUAAUAAUUUGAAUGAAUUAAAUAUAAAAAAUAGAAUAAAAAUUGUUAAAAGAUUAUUAUAAGAAAAGAAACAUGUAAAAAAAGUUAUGCAAAAAAAAUAAUAAUUCUACAAGUGUAAUUUUUAUCAAUUAAAUUUAUAAUGUAUUUUAUCAUAACCUGGUACAUGUGUGUAUAUACCUACACCUUUAUUCAUAAGCUAAUCCAGUACUUUUAGAAUCUCAACAUAAUACACCUUUAUUAAAGUUAAAUACUUUAGUCUUUCUAUCCAUUUAACCACUAAUACUUAAGAAAAAAAUUUAAAAUGCCAUAAUAAAAGGAGGUUCACUUUUAAAAAUAUCAAUAAUGAUAAAAUUUAAGAAUUAAAUUGCUAUCUAAUUAUUUGAAAUUUAACUGAUGAAAUUUUUUAAGAAAUACUUAAAAAAUAGAUGAAAUAAUUAAACUAUUUAUCGAAAUCAAAAGUUAAGAAUAUUUUUUUAACAAAUUUUCUAAACUAUAUGAAUAGUUUUGUUAAUAAUCCCUUAAUUUUUUUAAAUCUCUAUAUACAUACACACUUUACCUGUUUCAUUGUUGGACGAGAGUACGAAGGUUUAUAUACCGAAGCUGCUGCACAGUAAAUCAUUCUUAUCAUUUCUUUCUUGUUAUACAUAUCUUCCAAUUUUGAAUCGACAAGAUCGGUAUAAUCAUCGUUGUCCAAAGCUUGUCCAAUCUGAGAUCUAGCCUAAAUGUUGAUAAGUGAAAGUAUUUGUUAAUUUUUUUUAUAUCAAUAAAAGGUUUUUUUGAAUGCAUAUUUAGUCUAAUGUCAAGAGCAAUAUACGAUUUGAUGAAUUUGAAAAAUUUUAUAAACUAUUUACAAUAUAUUAAAAUAUGAAUAGAAAUGUAUAUGCCACUCUUUGGCAUAGAGUUGACACCAAUGAAAAUGGGACUACAUGUUUUUCAAAAAAGAAAAAAAAAACAUUAUCCUCUUGUUUGGAAUAAAAAAUUUCAUAAGAAAUCAAUUCAAUUCAAUUCAAUUCUUUUCUACAAUUUUCUUGUUUGGAAGGGAAGAAUUAUUUAUUUCUUAACUUACAAAAUUUUCAUUUUCAAAGAAAAAUAAAAUCAUACAUAAUUUUAUAAGAAUUCAUUUGAAUUAUUUUUUUGCAAAAUGAAUAUAUCAACAAAGGAGAUAGGCUUCUUAUCAAGAGCACACAUGCAAUAUAGCAAUGAGAUUACAACCCUCGCUAUUCCAAGUGAAAAGCUACACACAAACUAUGGAGAGGGCUUAGUUUGUAUUCUACAAUCAUGUGUGACUUGCAAUACCUCACACUUACCAGGCUUGACAUGUGAAAGUUUGUGAUUGAGGAUUUCUAGUUUGUUCAUUGUGCAACAAAAGUGCACUAGACUACUAUGAAGAGGAUGUCGCACUACCUUUAGGCAACUCCAGAGUAUAGGUUGCACAUAAUUAAAUCAUCAAUCCCCUGGAUCCCUACUUAUAUAGAUGCUGAUUGCGAUUUUUGUCUUGACGAUGACAAAUUUACAACAAGGUACUCCAUAUACUUAAAAAAUAAUAUUGUGUCAUGGCCAUCUAGGAUUUAGAAGAAAAAACCAUUGUAGUUCGUUUAUAAAAAUUGAGAAUUGGGCUAUUUUGACUGCCACAACAACGGUAUCUUGGAUACAAUAGUUGAUCCAUGAAAUAUUUGUGCAAUCAAAUGAAACUUCAGUAUGUGAUAAUGUAGGUUCAACUUAAGAUAACAUAAAGGGAGCUACAAUUUCAAUACAUCUCCUUGCAAGACUAGUUGGCCAAUAUUCUAAUAAAGUUAUUAUCUAGGGUUGUAACUGAAUAAAACUCCUUGUGAGCUAUUUAAGGCUUGACUCAAUAAAGAUUUGACUUAAGUUGAUUCUUUUUCUAAGUAAGCCAAGUUGAAGACUUAAGUUUUAGACUCGUUUAAUAAACUAGCUAAAAUCGAGCUUUUAAAUAUUCAACUCAUUAAGACUCGAAAGCUCAUUUGUUUAUAGAUUUACAAGUCAACUCAUAAAUAUACAUAUUUAACUGAAAUUAUUUAGUUUGAAACUAAUUAUGUUUAAAUUAAAACUUGUUGAGGUUGUAAAUGAAUCGAACUUUUUGUAAGGUAUUCGAGACUUGGCUAUCUAAACUCAUUUGCUAAAUAAAUCAAGUUUGAACUUAUUAAUACUCAAUUCGAGUUAUAAAUGAGCAUAGCUCUGUUAAAUAAUAAAUACUUUGCAAUUUUUAGAUGCAUGAAUAUAGACUAGUCUAUGGUUACAUAAUGCAUCAAAUAGCUUUUGCAUUUUAUGCUGCUCACUUCUUUGCAAUUGGUUGGUUAUGCCACAAUAGUUGGGAGGCAUUUAUGUGAAGCUAGUAUUUUCUUCUCAAGUAAUUUUCUACGUAUUCUUAUAUCCUUUUUCUAUUUUUUCGUAAAGAAUUAUUCCAUCCUUCUAUUUUAAUAGUCUUGUUUUGUUGUUUAUCUAUUUUAAUAGUCUUGUUUUGUUGUUUAUUGUGUUAUUGAUAUGUUUUUCCAUAUUUUUCACCUAACAUGCAUCAUCUGAGUUUGAGUGUAUAGAGGUCUACUAAAAUCUUAGUAGGAUAUUGUAUGCUAACCUUUUUCUAUAUAUUAUAGUAAUAAAAUUCCUUGCCUAUUAAUAUCAUACCUCAAAUUAAGCAUCAAAUUAGAUAAUAAUAAAACUCAACUAGAAUUUAUCUAACAAUAUCUCAAAUUGUGCGCAAAGAUUCUUCCUAGGUAUAAUUGAAUUCUUGAUAUCAUGUUGGAGUUGACUACAAGUAAAGGAUUUUUAAGAAAAAUACAAGAACCAAAAUCAAAAGAAGCUGGAAAGAUAUCUUUAAAGCUACAUUAAAGAUUAUUGAACCUUAAAAAAUAGGUCCAUAAGUGAUAGGAUUAAUGUAUAAAGGUAACAGAAAGGAUUGCCAAUGAUAUGUUAGCACCUCAAAUUUCAAAUUUGAUCCGUUUAGCAAGUAUUUUGAACCCGUUUUGAAGCCUUUAAAGUCAAAAACAUUUUCUCUUUGGACUUGACAAUUAAACUCUUAGUUUGCUAACUAAAUUGCUACUAUUAAUUGUUUGCUAAGUAGUUUGCUACUGUCUUAAAAUUCUAUCUCUACACAAAUUUACCAUUAUCCAAAUGUCCUACAAAUGGUCAUAAAUGCUCUUGGACUAUAAAUACUUCAAUUUUACAUCAUUUUGUGCUUAAUCAAAGUCUUAAAAUGGUCCUAUUCUUUGAGAUCAUCGGAUCCGUUCAAAGUGUUUCAAUUUUGUUUGUUGAGCUUCAUUAGCAAACCUAUUUUGUCUCAUCCUCAUAAUUGAUGAUUUUACUGAGUGAGUUGAGUGAAAAUUAAUCUACAAUGUCAUUUAUGAGGGUUGUUUAAGCACCCAGAGAAAUUGAAAAAGAGUGAGUUAGAAGACACUUACAAAGGGUUGCGAGCACCUAGUGAAGGCUUAUUAAUGUAAAAGGGAUAUCCUAUCCAAUGAAAAGAGAAUAUAAUGAAGCAAAGAUUCAAAGUGAAGCUUUGAGAGAGUGGACGUAGGCUAGUUAUAGCAUAAACAAUAUGAAAAUCUUUGUGUUCAUUUCUCCAAGCCCUACUCUCUUUACUUUAUUUCAUUUUAUUGAGUUAUAUUGAGAUUAAAGAAUUGACUGUAAUUAGAUUUGGAUGCUUUAGUGAAAACUUCAUUGAGUUAAGCAUACUGAUCUUAGUUCAUAUUGUUUUGUGCUGCUUUAGGUUGCUUCCAUAUUCUAGAUUGAACAUCUUGUGAAAUAUAUAUGCUUGUUUGAAGUGCUUGGCAAAUCUACCACAAUUAAGCACACUUAAUUGAUUUUAGCCUCAAUUUUUUAAAAGUAUCAAGCAAGAGUCGAAAAAUUGACCCCUAAUCACGAUUUACCCUUUAACGUGUGAUUGGCUAAAAAACUAUUUGACCAAAUUUUAAAGUUCUAUAUUCCAAUAAUACAAUCAUAUUACUCUGAAUAUUUUCACCAUAAAGGCAGAGGAGAAAAGUCAUUGCCUAAGUAAUAACUAUGAUAGAUUUAGAAGAAAGGACAUAGUGGCAACUUGUUCCUUGCAGGAUCCAUUACCCUUCUUCACCAUGAGCCCAACAACCUAGGUUCCAUCUACCAAAGUUAUCAUCCAAUAAUUUUGGUGCAUCAAAUUGUUUGGAACCUAAAAUUACUCGUCUAUCUAGCUUGAUAGACAACUCCAUCUUUGUUUUAGUGAUCAACCAUUAAACGGCUAGAAGAAGGUUGCACUACAUGGCUUAAAAGUACUUUGUUGAUGAGCGUUCGUGUGGAUCAAAGGUCAACGUUUGAGGCUCUCGGUUCUCAUGCUGAGAGAAAUGAUUCUAUACAACAAGAGAUAAAUAGACCUCUAAUUAUAAAAUAGGUUUUCUCUCUUUUACAUUUCUCAAAAUGGUUGAUGGGCUUAAGUUUCAAUUCGAAAGACAUAAGAGUUGCAUCUAGUUGUGUAUUUGUAAACUAUUUUAUCAUGGAAAUUGAAUUGGCAAUGAGCUUGACAGUCUAGAUUAACUAAGUUACAUUAUUUUAUGCAUGCGCUCUCCAUUGUGCAUUUUCAUAUAUACACACAUAAGGUGAAGUUUUUUCUAUUAUUAUUUUUUUGGGUGAUUUACAAUUUAGUCCCUGAGUAUUGCUAUUAUUAACAAGUCAGUCCCUGUAUUUUUAGAAACCUAUUAAAACGUCCUUAUAUUUUAUUUCCAUCAACGAAAUAGUCCUUCCGUCCUAUUUUCCGUUAAAAUUAGAUAAAGGAGGAGAGAGAAAAUUUUUAAAAUUCAAUUUUACCCUCAAAUAAAACCAUUUAUUUAGUCCUUGUAUAUUGCAAUUAUUAAUAAGUUAGUCCUUACAUGUUCAAAAAUCUAUUAAAAUAUUUUUAUCUUUUUUCAUAUCUAUUAAAACGUCCUUAUCAUUUUUUUUCGUCAAUGAAAUAGUCCCUAUCUUUUCUCAUAUCUAUUAAAACAUCCUUAUUGUUUCUUUAUGUCAACGAAAUAGUCCCUCCUCAUCGUUUCUUUCUGUCAACGAAAUCGUCUCUCCCUAUAUUUUUAGAAAUUUAUUAAAACGUCCUUAUUGUUUCUUUUUAUCAACGAAAUAGUCCCUAUCUUUUCUCAGAUCUAUUAAAACGUCCUUAUCGUUUCUUUUUAUCAACGAAAUAGUCCCUAUCUUUUCUUUCCUCCUCCUCCUCCCCCUCCUCCUCCUCCUCCUCCUCCGAAAAAGAAGAAGAAGAAGAAGAAGAAGAAGAAGAAGAAGAAGAAGAGAAAGAAGAAAAAGAAGAAAGAGGNNNNNNNNNNNNNNNNNNNNNNNNNNNNNNNNNNNNNNNNNNNNNNNNNNNNNNNNNNNNNNNNNNNNNNNNNNNNNNNNNNNNNNNNNNNNNNNNNNNNNNNNNNNNNNNNNNNNNNNNNNNNNNNNNNNNNNNNNNNNNNNNNNNNNNNNNNNNNNNNNNNNNNNNNNNNNNNNNNNNNNNNNNNNNNNNNNNNNNNNNNNNNNNNNNNNNNNNNNNNNNNNNNNNNNNNNNNNNNNNNNNNNNNNNNNNNNNNNNNNNNNNNNNNNNNNNNNNNNNNNNNNNNNNNNNNNNNNNNNNNNNNNNNNNNNNNNNNNNNNNNNNNNNNNNNNNNNNNNNNNNNNNNNNNNNNNNNNNNNNNNNNNNNNNNNNNNNNNNNNNNNNNNNNNNNNNNNNNNNNNNNNNNNNNNNNNNNNNNNNNNNNNNNNNNNNNNNNNNNNNNNNNNNNNNNNNNNNNNNNNNNNNNNNNNNNNNNNNNNNNNNNNNNNNNNNNNNNNNNNNNNNNNNNNNNNNNNNNNNNNNNNNNNNNNNNNNNNNNNNNNNNNNNNNNNNUGUAAAUCUCCCUAUUUUUUUUUUUUUUGUAAAUAGUUAAUACAAUCUUUAUGAUCUAGAUAUAAGAUAAGUAAGGAGAUAAGUGUUGAUAGGUAAGGGAAAACCCAUAUGUGCCUUCUUCCUCUAAAAGUCUCAUGUCUCAAUUAAUCAAAAGCUACAAAGAGAGCAAAAGGAUAAGGGCGUGCGAAGGAGACAAUGGUCAUGGUGAAUGGUGCUAAAGGAUUUAGUGGUGACAAGACUAAACUGAUGUUAAGGUGAAUGGUGCUUGAAGUUUUGGUAAAGAAGAAUUACGAUAGAGGCUUAAAGAGAGUUAAAGAUGUAAUCAAGAGAAGUAGUUUACAGAAAGAGAUUCCAUAUAGCAUAAGAGGUAUUAUAUAAUCCGUUAUAGUUCGUUUUGAACUACUCAUCUUACAAAUAGAAAUAAAAUAAAAUGAAUUAUGCAUGAUUUUAAUUUAUUUUAGAAUCAAUUUUUUUAGUUAAAAUAUAGUUAAAUUCUUCCAUUUUAAUAAUAAGAUUGAUAAAAAAAAAUCAAUUGAAUUUAAUUUUAGUAAUUUUGUUUUUCAAAUAAAGUGUUAGAAACAAAGGAGAGGAGAGAUAAAUGUAGAAUUGAUACGUUAGCAAGUAGUUACUUAAGGUAUAACUUCAUUGUUCAAUGAGCUAUUAUGCAGGAUGAUGCUAAAAUUUAGGUCAUAGUAUUGCAAACCCCUUAAAUUUAGGAAUACUGUUUAAAAUUUAUCAAUGUUUUCUUCCACAUAGCACAUUUCACCAUUUUUUUGGUCGAGAUGGUUAUCCAGUUUUAAUAAAUGUGUCAGUUGAUCCUAAUUUUAUUUCUUAAAUCCUACACAUCUAUUUGAAAAAUAAACCUCUCAUAUCAUCUAUGUUUAACUAAAAACAUAUAUACAAGUUUAGUGUAUGCACGUGUAUAUAUAAGUAUCAUACCCAAUUAACAAUAGUAUUGCCUUGUUCAUCUGAAAGUUCUCUUCCGGUAAUCAGCUCUAGGAGUACAACGCCAAAAGAAUAGACAUCUGAUUUUUCUGACACUCUUUGUUUAUCGCCAUAUUCUGGAUCUGCAUAACUAUAAUAAAAAAAUUCACUAAGAUUUUGUAUUAUCUAAUGUAUCAUUUCAUCUUUGAUUUUGAUAUAAAAAAACCAGUGGACAUCUAAACCUUUUUUAGUUAACAUUUAAUAAAUAAUCUAUAUAAAAAAUAUUACUCUUUAACUCCUCUAUUUUGAGGUUCGUUAUACUUCUGUAAAAUAUAAUAGUUUAAUAGUUACACUUUCAUAAAUUAUGCAUGUUAAUUACUAGUUAAAUAAAAGUUAAGACACUACGGGACUUUGUGUGGCAAAAAAAAAAGUAUACCAUUAUUUAUUUUUUCUUAGAAAGUAAAAAAUCUUUGCAAGAAAAGCACUCAAAUACUGUUAGUUACUAUUUUAAUUCAUAUUUUUGAAGAGAAAUUUACUAUUUAUCUUUUAUAGUAUAAGAAAACUCAUUAAUUGAUCAUUCAGUUUUGAAAUAUAUACUAAAACGUUUUUGACAUUUUAAAAAGUCUAUUAGUUAACCCCUUCGUUAAUUUUAGUCAUUAAAUAUUGUAAAAAAGUAUGAAAUGCCGUUGAUACGGAAGAAUUAAUUAGUAGAUUUUUUAUAAACAUGAAGGAACAAUUAAUAAAUUUUUUUUAAACUAUAAGGAUUAAAUAGUGAAAUAUUUAACGGUUAAAAUUAACAAAGAAACUAAAUAGAAAAAUUUUUAAAAUAUCAAAGAAAUUAUAAUAUAUUUUUUAAAAUUAAAAGUUCAAUUAAUAAGUUUUUCCAUAUAAUAAAGAUUAAGUAAUAAUUUUUUCUAUUCUUAACUCCUCAAAAAUAAACUCUAUAUGAAUUUAGAAAUUAAAGUCAAAGAGGCCUAAUUUUAUUUUUUUUAACAAGAAUUCUAAUUUCUCUUAUUUUCAAAAGAAUUUUAUCCAUUUAGCUAUUAAAGACGAAGUUUUCAAGUUGAAAUUCUAAAUAAGUAGGAAAAUUCACAUAAAUAAAAUUUUACAAAUUGAAUCAAUUUCUCACUUUGUAAUUUUUUUUUAAUUUUGAUAACCUCCUAGCUUUCCUAGCCCAGGAAUAAGGACGGAUUCAAGAGAAGGCCACAAGUCCAAAACCCGUCAGAUCAUACGCUCGAAAGACGGCCCAACUUCACAAGCCCGGGACCAGCAACCCAGAGCAAUUCGAAUCAGAUACGGACCCAGGCCCAAUAGGGAAGCAGGCCCAGUCACUCACCAACCCUGUUCGCAUGCGUGACAGGGAGAAUUAAAUGGCCGCUUGGCGUGGAGAAGGGGUCUGACACGUCCGUACGUACGGACCUGAGUGACAUGGACAAGUAGCACUAUAGAAUGGGGAGGUCUUCUCUUUCAGGGUUCUCUUCUUCCUCUCUCUCCUUCCUAGACUCCAUUUUUUACCUUCUCUCUACAACUCUUGCUUAAAUAUACUACUCUAAUCCAUAAAAUCUGACUUGAACGUCGAAGGGUCUCCACCGAGGGCAUUCCCGAUAGACCCCUGACCAUUUUUCCCUAUUUUGCAGGUCUCAUCGUCAAAUAUAGAACAUUGAGAGACCCAUUUGACGGACCCAUAUGAUGGACCAAGAAGAAAACCAGACCCAUCAGGGAGCCCAGAGAAAAAAAGAUUUAUCAAUUGGCGCCGUCUGUGGGAAACGAAAGGGAUUUUACUCUCUUUAAAGUUUCCAGAUCCACCCAUUGAGAUUCACAUAAGGUAUGAAAGCUUGUGCAAAUAACCCAGCUGAAGAGAAAGAUUCAUCGUGUUAAAAAAUAUUUUGAUAAUAUUUCAGAUAGUUUGUUUUAAUAUUUAUUAGGUUUUAUUACGGCUGAUUUUUUUCUUUGAAAUCUGGUGAAGCAAAAUUUCAGAUCGAAGUACUUGUUUAUAAGUAUAAAUUCUAAUCUUUUUUGUAAAAGGAAAAAAGAGUGAGUAAUACAUAUAUUUGUUGAAAUUGUGAGGUGGCCGUGUGUAUAUUGUCAAGAUAAUAGGGGCAGAUCGGCUGUAAAAUUCCAGGUUAGCAUGUUAGAGAGAAAAUUAAUAAGUGAAAAAUAGACGAGGUCAGACUAACAUUUCAGGUCGGAUAGGGCAUGAGGUCGGAUGGAGCACGAUCCAUGGCCAUCUAACUGGAUUGCACAGCAACGUCCCUCAAGUAUCGGGGCAACAUGGAGACAAUAAGAAAUGAUCAAAUGUCUAGACUGAUCGAGGUGGAUGAACUCAAACUCUGUAUGCCGUCCAACUUGAAGAUGAGGUCGGUUGGGUUACGAGGUUGGCACUCCUUCAACCUCUGAUUGAACAGACCUGCUUUAGCACCAGGACGCUUGAUCGAAGCAUCGAGGAAUCUAUAUGGUCAAACCCGUAGGUCGGACACCCAAGAGCUGGACAGCUCCGGAGCUUGAAGAAAUCUCCUCCUUCCUUCACCAACUCCUUCACAAUUCCUCCUCUUCCUCUCCCUCUGCUAAAUUCAUGCACCAUGCUCUCUCUCUUCUCCUUCUCCCCCGCUGCCGCUGCCGACACAGACUAAACCUCCGACUGAAUUGUUAUUUGGCCGCUCCCAAGAUGGGAGUCACAAUGGCAAUUCAUCUCUUGCUUACAAUCAAACCCUAGAUCAAAACAGACAAUCAUCACUUUCCCAAGCAAGAUCUCCCAACCUAGAUCGACUUUCAACCAUUUCAAAAGGAUCCAACUCCAAGACAUCCAAUGUCAGGUAUUGAGAAUGUCUAAGGAACCACGCGGCCAGCAUCGGCGGCAAUGCUUUUGACGGCUGUGGUGAGUUCAUGCCUGGGGGAGAAGAAGGCACAAUCGAAGCUUUAAAAUGUGCGGCUUGUGACUGCCACCGUAACUUCCACCGGAAAGAGGUGAAUGGGGAGACUCAAUUUAGUCCGAGUUCGCAAAGAAGUUCGUUCGUCCUUCAAAUGCCACCACCACCACCAUAUGUUUUAUACAAGAAAAGGUUUAGGACCAAACUCACUCAAGGACAGAAGGAUAAAAUGAUGGAGUUUGCAGAGAGGAUCGGGUGGAGGAUCAGUAAGCCGGAAGAGGAGGAGGAGCAAAAUUAAUGAGAAAAUGAACCUGCACUCAUCUGAAGUGCUGCUCGCCACAUUUUGGAUAAGCAUGCCGAUUGAUGAUUGAAAUAAGGAGGAAGCAACAUGAGUUGAAAACUCUCAGGUCAUUUCUCAAAAAUAUUUUUUUUACUUAGUCAGGGAUGUGGUCACUUUCCCUGGCUUUGUAGACUGCAUUUACCUUGAUGCCCUGACAAGCUGCAACUUGACAAUGGCUUGAGUGAUGUAAUAACCAUCAAGAAAAGAAAUUGGUCAGAUGCUGUGGAACCCACACGUACAGAUGGAAGCAUGUUACGAGAUUUUGUUUGUGUUGAAAAUGCCAAGUUGCACAGCAAUGUUGUACCGCAUGCAGUAAAUUUCUUUCAUUUGAGGACGGGACCCAUCCCCAGCCAAAAAUCCAUGAACAGUCCUCUGGAAGUUUGGAUACUCCGUAUUCAUUCAUAUGCCUUCUUGCUUCAGCUGCUUCAUUCCAUUCCCCAGCAGCAGCAUGAACGUUUGCUAAGUGAAUGUGCCGGCCACCAUGAUCGGGGUCCAAUUCAAUUAGGAAUUUCCCUAUCUGCUUACCUAAUUCUGUAUUUCCAUGAAUCUGACAGGCAUUUAGUAGUGCUCCCCAUAUGACAGCAUUUGGUUUUACUGGCAUUCGCUCAAUCAAAUCUGUUGCUCUCUUCAGCAAACCUGCUCGACUGAGUAGAUCAACCAUGCAUCCAUAGUGCUCUACUGUUGGGUCCAAGCUAUGAACUUUCUCCAUGCUGUCAAAUAGUGAUUUUCCUUCAUCAACCAAUCCUGCAUAACUGCAUGCUGUCUGAUGAUUGAAAUAAGGUACAUAUAUCUUGCCACGUGUCAUUAGCAUAAUUGCUAUUGGAGAAAUUUACAAGCCCUUAAUUACUUAUCUUAAAUACUCAUGAUAUAUAUGUAUGCUCCAGUUAUCCAAAUCGUACUUUGCUGUGUAUAUUUAUUAUUUUGCUUCAGAAUUUCAAGAAUGUCUUUAGUUAUUGGCAAUUAUUUUUAAUUAAACAUUAUUGAACACAAAUGAUUUCAUAGAUUAUUAAAAGGCAUGCUUCGCAUGUAAAUAGUAAGACUAAAUUUAACUAAAAUAUACCUCUAUGAGUUUAGAUAUCCUGAUAAUUGCUUACAUUUUAUAGAUCGAAAAAUUCUGGAGAAAUUUACACGUGCAAAUAUUAUUUAUUGAACCUUUGAAUUGCAUGAGUUAAUAUUGUUAGUUAGAGCUAAUAUUUACGUUCAUCUGAAAUAUGAAACUAAGUGACAUGUGCGACACAUUAUUGAUGAAUAUUAUUGAAUUAACAACGAGCAUCCUCGUUAUAUAUGCUCUGUGCAAUAUUUUAUUUUGCAGAAAAAUCCUGAAUCUCGCUCAAAGACCUCAGGCAAGCACAAGACCGGGAUCCCCAAGAUCUCCUGGCAUCAGAAGACCUCCUUGAGACAUAGAGACCUCUUGGAGGUAGAAAGACCGGGAUUCCCAAGAUCUCCCGGAUUCAAGACAAGGAUCCCCAAGAUCUCCUGGCAUCAGAAGACCUCCUUGAGACAUAGAGACCUCCUUGAGACAUAGAGACCUCCUGGAGGUAGAAGACCUCCUUAAGACAUAGAGACCUCCUAGAGGUAGAAGACCGGGAUCCCCAAGAUCUCCCGGAUUCAAGACCAGGAUCCCCAAGAUCUCCUGGCAUCAGAAGACCUCCUUGAGAUAUAGAGACCUCCUGGAGGUAGAAGACCAGGAUCCCCAAGAUCUCCUGGCAUCAGAAGACCUCCUUGAGACAUAGAGACCUCCAGGAGGCAGAAGACCUCCUUGAGACAUAGAGACCUCCUGGAGGUAGAAGACCUCCUUGAGACAUAGAGACCUCCUGGAGGUCGAAGACCAGGAUCCUCAAGAUCUCCUGGCAUCAAAAGACCUCCUUGAGACAUAGAGACCUCCUGGAGGUAGAAGACUAGGAUCCCCAAGAUCUCCUAGCAUCAGAAGACCUCAUUGAGACAUAGAGACCUCCUGGAGGUAGAAGACUAGGAUCCCCAAGACCUCCUGGCAUCAGAAGACCUCCCUGAGACAUAGAGACCUCCUAGAGGUAGAAGACCGGGAUCCCCAAGAUCUCCCAGAUUCAAGACCAGGAUCCCCAAGAUCUCCUGGCAUCAGAAGACCUCCUUAAGACAUAGAGACCUCAUGGAGGUAGAAGACCGGGAUCCCCAAGAUCUCCCGGAGCUACAAGUCCAGGAUUCCCAAGAUCUUCUGGCAUCAAACGGCCGAGAUCCCCAAGAUCUCUUGGUGACAUAAGCAAAAAUAACUCAUAAGAACAUAGUUCCGACCCCACAUAAAAGAUGGGGGCGAGGGACCAUAAAUGAAAAGCUAAACUCCGACCUCCCAAAGGAGCUCGAGUCAUAAAGUAAAGAGACUUUGAUUUCACAGCGGCGCCAAAGCGCCAAAGCACCAUGCCGAUCUCAAGAAAAUGAGCUCAGUACUGGUAAAUUCAAUAGACAAACCGAAUUAAGGCAAGGCGAGUCCUAAGCAAAAUGCAUACCAAAAUACAGAACCAAAUAAAGAAUCAGGGACAAUCAUAAAAGGCACCGACCUCGAGAAUUGACCGCUAGCACUGAACUAACUCAGCUGGCCUAGAAAGAGAUCCAGGCAGCAAAGAGCUCGCAAAACGCUCGAGGGCAGACAACCCAUAAAACACUCGGGGGCAAAAAACCCAACCAACCGAUACAUACACGAGAGCCCAAUGCUCAGAUAAAGAAUCAAGGAGGCAGGACGGUCCAAUCCAAAACAGAUAGUCCGACCUCUUCAAUCUAGGGUCGAUCUCCCCAGAAGCUUGGAGGGACCUCAUACCUGGAUCGGCAAGGCUAUAAGCCUAUAAAAGAAAAAGUUAAAACCGAACAAAAAAGCAGUCAGACUGAAACACAGCCCGAACAAGGCUCGACAAGAAAACAAGAAAUUAAGUCUGACUUCACAGAAGAGCUCGGGGCACCAAAGUGAGGAAGGCGAAAUUCCGAACUCCUGAGCCCGUAGCACAGGCAGCAUCACAAGUCAUAGGCGUAAAAGCCUAAGCAAAGAACAAAAAUCCGAGCUCCUUAAUCCGCGGUCUGGACGGACUCACGACAAGUAAACAACCAAGCUGAAUAAAGCUGAGCAUAGAGGACAUACCAGAAAGCCGAGCUCCCUACAUGAAAAGGCCUGCAAAUGCAGAAAAACACAAAGGACUAAAUGAAAGCGAGAGACCCUGCUCACCGCUCGGAUUAACUCACAGUAAACAAACACUUAGCAAAGAUGACUCUGGGAGAGGAAAACGACAAAAGACCGAGCUCCCUAUCCUAGUGGAGCACACAACUCAGACUACCCUAAUCGCCAAAAGGUUACAUCCAGAGAGAUAAGAUGUCUGAGCUCGUAGCGAGAACAAGAUUUAUAAAAUUGUCUAAAACGGGGCAGGCAUGCAAAUAAGACAUUUCUCUAGGUAUUAUAUAUCCGAGCUCAUAGCAUUGACGAGGUCAUGAACCAAAAACAGAAAUGCCCUCAUAAGAAUAAGAAAAACUUGCAAGUAAGAACCUUAAUCAGACUCCGAGCUCUUAGCCCGGAUCAGUCCGACUAUCAAAGUCUCAGUAGAGCUAGCCUGGACCAUCAAUUAAGUAAAAUUGACAAAGCCAGAAGACAGUCUAAGAGAAAAAUAAUGAUGAGGUACAUGCCGAGGUGAAAUAUCAUUCAUCAUCGAACAAACAUCUCCAUAUCGCCAUACAUUCGAACAUCAAAGUAAAGAGACAAAAAUAAUAAAAAGGCAAGGAAAGGAUACUUUCGACAAGAGCAGUUCUCAGACCACACGGUCAUGAAUAGAGUUUAAGGAUUUACCCCCUCACCAGUCAUGGAAUAACUGCCAAGGAGGUAAAGGGGCAAUUGAUAACCUCCUGGCUUUCCUAGCCCAGGAAUAAGGACGGAUCCAAGAGAAGGCCACAAGUCCAAAGCCCGUCAGAUCAUACGCUCGAAAGACGGCCCAACUUUACAAGCUCGGGACCAACAACCCAGGGCAAUUCGAAUCAGAUACGGACCCAGGCCCAGUCACUCACCAACCCUGUUCGCAUGCGUGACAAGGAGAAUUAAAUGGCCACUUGGCAUGGAGAAGGGGUCUGACACGUCCGUUCGUACGGACCUGAGUGACAUGGACAGGUAGCACUAUAAAAUGGAGAGGUCUUCUCUUUCAGGGUUCUCUUCUUCCUCUCUCUCAUUCCUAGACUCCAUUUUUUACAUUCUCUCUACAACUCUUGCUUAAAUAUACUACUCUAAUCCAUAAAUUCUGACUUGAACAUUGGAGGGUCUCCAUCGGGGGCAUUCCCGGUAGACCCCUGACCAUUUUUUCAUAUUUUGCAGGUCUCUUCGUCAAAUAGAACAUUGAGAGACCCAUUUGACGGACCCAUAUGAUGGACCAAGAAGAAAACCAGACCCAUCAGGGAGCCCAGAGGAAAAAAGAUUUAUCAAAUUUGAAUAAUUUUACCUAUUACCCAUAUAAAAACUAUUUAAUUUUAUCUAUUUUUAAGAUUUUCUUUAAAAAAUUCAUAAUCUAUUAAACUCAUUUUUUUAGAUUUUUGUUUUAAAAUCUAAAUAGUUAGAACCACAUUGAAUAAUCUAACAAUUACUCAUAUAAUUCUUUUUAAUAAAUUAAUUUUUAUAAAUUUUAAAUAGUCUAAUACAUAAUUUUUAUCUUAUAAAUAGAGGUAAACAAAAUAAUCAUGACUUCUUAACCAUAAAAAGUAAUUGUAUUAAAAAAUAUAUUAAACAAUGAAUUAAUAAAUAAUUACCCUCUAAAUAUUUUUUUAAAAAAAUGUGGUUGAAGUUUAAGUCUUGAAAAUUAGAAACAAUUUUUUUGGAUUAAAAGUAAUAAAAAAUUAGGAUAGUUACUGUAAAAAUAAUAUUUGGAAUUGUAAUUUUAUUUAUGAGAAAAUUAUUAUUUAGGUUUGAAGUUUUAAAAAAAUUAUUAGUUUGUCUCUAUAUCAAAAUUAUUUAAGUAAAUCAUCUCUAUAUUUUAUAAAAUUAAAUUGUUUAGUAAGUAAUUGAAAAUACAUGUUAAGAAAAUUUAUUUUAAUCUUGAUUAAAGACUAAAUUGUAUGAAUAUUUAAAUUUAUAAAUAUUAAAUAAUAUAUAUAAUUAAAAUUAUAUAAAUAAAUUAAUGGAUUUUUUAUAAAAAUAAAAUAAAAAAUUUAAUUCUACAAAAUAUAAAAAAAUUUUAAUUAUAUAAUUUUCAAAUAAAAAUAAAUUAAUGAAUUUUGAAAUUUAAUAAUAAUUUAUUCUUAUUUAUUUAGAAUUUGAAAAAAUUUAGAGACUUUUGCUCUAUAUCUAUUAGCGGUAUUAGAUUCAAAUUGAAAAAACCGACCGAAUCGAAUUAAUUUGAAAAUUCAAUUUAAUUUUUUAUUCCUUUCAGUUCGGUUCGGUUUGAUUUUUAAUUUCAAAAUUUUCGAAUAUUUCGGUUCGGUUCGAUUUUAAUCAGAAAAAAUUAAAAAAUCAAACCGAAUCAAUUAGUGAUAAUAGUAUAUUAUUUUUAAUAAUUUAGAGAGAUUAAAUUAUAUUAAAAUUAAAAUAUUUUAAUUAAAUUUAAAAAUACUAAAAAUAAAGAUAAAAAAUAAUAAAAUUAUUAAAAAUUCAAAUCAAAUCGAAUCGAAUCGAAUCAAACUAAUUUAGUUCAAUUCAAUUUCUAAUCAAAAUCAAUUCGAUUUAAUUUUUAUAAAUACUAAAAUUUUAAUUUUUAGUUUAUUUAAUUCGGUUCGAUUUUCAAUCCGCCGUUGCCAACUACCAACUACCAAGUGGUUAUACUUCAAUAAAUAAUGACUAAGAAAAGAAAAUUUUCUUACAUGUUGGUUCCCCUCAGUAUGCUGCUGAUAUGGUUAAUAUUACCCGUAUCAGGCAAAAAAUUCGCCAGUGAAAAAUCUGCAAUCUAAAACAAUGAUUUAUACAAUUAAGUAGAUUUUUUGGCAUAUAAUUUAACAUUAAAAAAUCCAACAUAAUAAAAUUAACUUACGUAAAGAUAUCAAAUUAUUAAAGUCGCACAAUUGUUUUUCAAUAUCUCCUCGCAUUUACCUUAUUGUAUAAAUGCUGAAGUUAUAUUUAUUACGAGAGUACCAUACCUUUGGUUCAAAAUUAUCAUUAAGAAGAAUAUUAUCUGCUUUAAUAUCUCGAUGUAUAAUUUUAGGUUUACCUGAAAAAAUAAUUCAAAUUGAAACAUUAAAUAAAUUGUCAACACAUAAAAAAAAAAAUUAUUUUAAUUAGUCUCAAUAGCUAAUUAUAGUUUCAAAGUAGUGAAAUUACUCACAUUCUUCAUGCAGAUAAAGCAAUCCUCUGGCAGAGUUUAUUGCGAUUUUUAUUCUUUUCGGCCAUUCCAAAAACUUGUCUUCAUCUGUUAAAAAUAUAUAAAUAUAUGUAAAAACUCAUUUUAUGUUUAUAUAUAGCUAUGUGUGUGUGAAUAUGUUAACUAAGAGUGUACAAGGUUGGUUUACUUCAAAAUUGAACCAAGUCAAAAAAUAAUAAAUCAUUUUAUUCAAUCCCAUUCAAUUCUUGAUUUUGUUUCUAUUUUAUCCAAGAAGCAUUAAUUAUCUGGAAUUUCUUUUGGGAAGUGAAAAAUAUAUAUAUAUAAACUCAUGACAAUUGCAUCAAUAAAAUUAAGAAUCAAAGUUCAAUUUCAUCCAGAAUUUACAAUCGAAAGUUAAUAAUAAUAAUAAUCAUCAUCCGUACUACUAAGGCAUACAAUCGAAAAGAUUUAACUGAUGGAUGAGAAGAGAUUAGCAGUAUUUGGCCUCUGAUUUCAGGGGCAGCAAGUUUGGAAUAAAAAUUUUCAUAAUAAUUCAAUUUUUUUCAAUCAAUUCUUUUAAUUAGAAUGGAAGAAUUCAUUCUUUUUGGACUCGGGUAAUUUUAAUUUUCAAAAGAAAUGAAAUUAUGUAUAUUUUAGUAACAAUUCUUUUGAAUUAUUUUCUGAAAAAAUGAAUCGGGUAAAAAUUGAAUCCGUCGGUUCAAUUUCUUCAUUACAAUUGAAAUAAACUCAGCCCAAUAUCAGUGCAUGAAAAGGCACUCACCAUGUAGAUGAUGUCUCAAAGACUUGUUGGGAACAAACUCUAAAACAAGCAAUCUAUCAUCUCCUUCACUGCAGUAUCCAAUCAUCUUAACGAUAUUUGGAUGGCGCACAACGCUAAGGUACUCGAUCUCCUCCAAUUUAUUCUCCAGCUUUAUUAUUUUAAGUUUCUUUAUAGCAACAUCAUCAUCAUCUAAGAAUGCCUUAUAGACUAUCCCAAAACCACCCUCGCCAAUGCUGCAUUUAUUGGAGAAAUAAUUUGUUGCGAUUGCUAGUUUUUUGUAUUCGUAUCUCUUAAAUCCAUAUGAUUGAGCAAUCUCCGAGGCUGCUGGUGCAUAUCUUGGAGCAUUCUCAGAAGUUGCUGGUGCAUCACGACUUCCAUUCUUAUCAGAAUAUGGUCUAUAUUCAGCCGGAUCUGUAACCAAUGACUGCUGAGGCAACGGUGCUGUAUUAUCUAACCAAGUUGUAACAUGCCAGAAUUAGUUAGAGGAGAAAGCAAAAAUCACAGUGAAGAUACUAUCCCCAAGUACAGCUUCUAGUAAGAAAUGAAAUGAAUCCUUCAUGGAACCCAACAAAAAAGAGCAUCAGUUUAGUUAUGGAAGAAAUAACAUAAUUCAAGAGCCUCUACGGCUCUCAUAUUACUUUGGAUUCAUUGUACAGUGUCAGCUAAAACAGUAUACCUUUAAUGUCAUUGAGGCGAUCUGCCUGCGCAUUGCUCUUGCUCAAGAAACAGCCCAUCAAAACCUGCGGAGUAGCUGCAGUUUUUCUUUUCUGACCACUUCAACAAAUGUCUCCAGCAAUUGGGUGAAGGGGGGACAUCUCUG